rnacentral:lncRNA from 1 species
CAACCCCAACAGGUUCAGACACACACACCCAAGUAGCACAACAAAGUCAAAAGGUACUGCUGAGGGCACAGCUCAACAAGCCCAAAGAAACAGAAAAGGAAACCGGGCGAGGCCGGGCGAGAGACCCACGGAGGGGGCUAGUCAGGCUCCGGCGGAGGGGGCGGCGGCGGCGGCGACAGGCGGACGGCCAUCGUGCGGAGGUCGGCGAUGAAGGCGGAGAUGGCGUUGCGCUCCAGGAGACGGCUAAGCGGCCGCCAAAGCUGCAGGAAACCCGAGAAUUUGUAGAGAGCGUCAGUAGCACGACGAAUCGGAGUGCGCUCAAUCACAAGCUUAUUACGAACAGUCCAAAGAGUCCAGGCUAGGGUCCCAACCUCCAGCCACCUAAUGUGGCGGGAGGACGGGGGGGACGCUUGGAGUUCAGCAAAAAGGUCGGGGAAGUUGGUGUGAGUCCAAUUUCCGCCGACAAGCUCGCGAAAACAGCUCCAGAGGAACUGGGCAGAGGUGCAAGCGAAGAAGAUGUGGUUAGAAUCCUCGGGGACGGCACAGAGGGGGCAGAGACCAGAACCCGGGCCAUUACGCUUGCGGACCUCCACACCGGAGGGGAUCCGUCCCCGGAUCCACUGCCACAUGAAGAUACGGAUCUUCAGAGGGAGGCGGACGGACCAAACCAUUGAGAGGGGGGGAGGGGCGGCGGAGGGGGUAAUGACCGCAUAGAGCAAUUUGGUAGAGAACUGGACAGACGGCUCCAAAUGCCAUCGAACACGGUCUUGGACGCCGUCAACCAGCGGCUCAUGAAGAGCGACGCACUCAAGAAGCUCACGCCAGGCGGCGGAUUCCGUAGGCCCAAAUGGCCGACGGAAAGCGAGGCGCCCUAAGUCAAAUAGGGCCCUAUCAACAGAGAUCAUGGGGUCGACAGAGAUAGCAAAGAGAAUGGGGAAGCGAGCCGCAAAGGGGGCGUCAUCGGCCCUACGGUCAUACCAGAAUAACGUCGAACGGCCAGAUCCUACCGAGAUAGAGGUACCAAUGCGGAGCACAGGGAGGAGCUGGACAAGGGACUGCCAGAACUGAGAGCCACCCGACUUCUGGCAGAAGGCAAGGGGUUGGCCGCGCAGGUAUUUAUUCCGGAUAAUGUCCAGCCAGAGGCCCCCGUGGCCCUGCGAGAUGCGCCACAGCCAUCGGGAGAGGAGGGCAAUAUUCAUCCGUUUGGAGCACAUGAUCCCCAAACCCCCCUGCUCCCUCGGCUUGCAGAUGUCAGGCCAGCUGACCAUGUGAUACUUCUGCUUGCCGUGCUCCCCAGCCCAAUAGAAGCGGGACUGGAUUUUGGCGAUCUCCUUAUGAAGAGAAUCGUGAAGGCUGUAGAGACUCAUAAGAAAUAAGAGGAGACUGGAGAGGGAGGAGUUGAUAAGAAUAGUCCUGGCCGCCUUGGACAGCCACCUCCCCUGCCAAGGCUCGCAUCUAGUCUGGAGCUUGGUCACGGAGGGGCGAAGAUCGGCGGCCAGGAGGCGCGAGUGACUGAUGGGCGUCCCCAGAUAGGUAGAAGGAAACGAGCCCAAGCGGCAAUUGAGUCUAUUGGCAAUGGCCACUGACUCCUCGGGAGAGUAUCCCAUCACCAUAACAUCGCUCUUAUCAAAAUUGAUCUUGAGGCCCGACAUCUGCUGAAAGCAAAGGAGGAGGAAUUUGAGAUUGGCGAUGUCCAUCUCCGAGCCUUCGACCAUGAUGAUCGUGUCGUCCGCAUACUGGAGGAUGGAGAUCCCCGCGUCCCCGGAGAGAUGGGGGGCGAUGCCUCGGAGGUGGCCCGCAGCUUUCGCCUUAUCGAGAAUGGAAGCCAAAGCGUCCACGACCAUGUUGAAGAGGAACGGGGAGAAGGGGUCGCCUUGGCGCACCCCACAAAGGGUAGGGAAGAAGGGACCAAUUUCGCCAUUAAUAUUGACCGCCGUGCGACCGCAAGAGACCAUUUGCAUGACUCUCGUGAUCCAUUGGUCGUCAAAUCCCUUGCGCAGAAGGACUUCCCGAAGGAAGGGCCAGCUAACCGUGUCAUAAGCUUUGUGAAAAUCGAUCUUCAGAAAGACCGCCUUCAGGUGUUUGACCCGGACCUCAUGAAGAACCUCGUGCAGGACCAAGACCCCAUCAAGGAUGAACCGACCCUGAAUGAACGCCGACUGAUUAGGGUGAGUGAUCCGGUCGGCCAGCAGGGUCACCCUAUUGGCGUACCCUUUGGCCAAGAUCCGGAAGAUCACGUUUAUGACCGUAAUCGGGCGGAACUGGCGGAUGUCAGUCGCCCCAGGGACCUUGGGAAUGAGGGAGAUGGUCCCAAAGUUGAGGCGGCCAAGGUCGAUCGAGCCCACGAAGAAUUCCUCGAAAAUGGCCAUGAUCUCGGGUUUGACCACGCUCCAGAAGGUUUGGAAGAAGAGAACCGGGAGGCCGUCCGGGCCCGGCGCCGAGGAGGGAUUCAUACCCUUGAUAGCCUCCCAGACCUCUUGUACAGAGAAGGGGGCCGUCAAGGUGGCAUUGUCUUCGUCAGAGACUAGACGGUCGCUGGUCCAGCAGUCAAAGGCAAGAGAGAGGCCGCUCCGAGGAGCGGGGGAGAAGAGGGAGCGAUAGAAGCCAUCAACAUGGGCGCGGAUAUCUCGGGGAUCCUGAAGGAGAGUGGCUCCCUCCCAAAGGCAGGAGAUGGUGUUGCGUCUACGGCGCCCAUUUGCGAUCACCUGGAAGUAGGCCGUAUUCGCAUCCCCCUUCAAGACCCAACGUUGGGCGCCCCGAAUGCGCCAAUAAGCCUCCUCAUCAGAGUAAAUCACGGAGAGCUGGUCCUCGAGGUCAUAACGGGACAUCCACUCGUCAGGAGAGAGACCGAUCGCAUCAGCCCUGAAGUCGAGGUCCUGGAUCGCCGACAGGAGAGCCUUCUUCCGCUCCCUGGAGUCUCUUCCCAGGUUGGCUCCCCACCCCUUCAUAAAUUGUCGGGCACGCUUCGCACAGAAGUGCCACGCAUCUAUGGCGGAAGGGGGGCGGGGGUGGGGAUGGCCACGAGCCUCGAUCCAACGAGCACUGACAGCGUCGGAGAAUCCGGCCUGGGAGAGCCAGACAGCCUCAAAACGGAACCGAGGGGGAAUCGGGGGGCGCUCAUCCGCGGAGGAGAGAAGCAGGGGAACGUGGUCAGACCCAAUCCGGGUGACGGCAUGAAGAGAGGCUAAGGGGCACCGGAGGUCCCACUCGGGGGAAACUAGGACCCUGUCCAAGACGGAGAGGGUCGGGGAGGCUUGGCGGUUGGUCCAAGUAAAACGAGCCCCAACCCGAUCAAGCUCCCUGAGGGCGAGGUCGGCAAUGAAGUCGUUAAACAUGUCCAUCCGGGCAAAACUAACAUUGCCAUUGUUCUUGUCUUCCGCACACCGCAACAGGUUGAAGUCCCCCCCCCCGACAACUACGGGGAGGGAGGCGGCCGAGAUUUUCCGGUGAAGUUCCUCCAGGAAGGAGGCCGACCUACUAUGGUCAGCCGGACCAUAGACGAUGAUGAUCUCCCAUUUGAAAUUGAGAGAUCUCUCAAAGACCUCCAUGCUGACGAAGAAUUCGCCCCGGUCCAUGCUGCCCACCUCAAAGGUGGCAUCCUUCACGCCUAGGAGGAUGCCACCCGAGUGGCCUGCACUCCCACUAGAAGGGAGCCAGUGCCACGCAAAUAGGUGAGAGCUCAGCCGGUUGAGCUCAGGGAGCGCAAAGUCCCGGCGCAUGGUCUCCUGCACGGCCACUAGGUCGAUGCGUUCAUCGCGCAAGUACUGCACUAACUGGCGGCGUCGGCCAUCAUGGCCGAAGCCGCGGAUGUUCCAGAAUAGGGCAUGCGUCAAGGAGCCAUUGGGGGGCUGCUUGACCCCAAGACACGAGACGCGCUGAGAGCGCGGAGGGCCGCCGUGCGGGAGCGGGUGCGACCCCGGAUCACCAGCUCGGCCCCCGAAGGGCGGGGGGCCGCCUGCCGCGUCCGAGGAGGGGGGGAGGGGUCUCUAGGGGGCGCCUGGGCCGGGGGAGGGGGAGCCGCAAGGGCCGCUCGGGCCUCUGCCAGUUUCCCAUCCAGAAUCUCCCGGGCCCGAAUGGCCCCAAUCUGGGCGAGGGGGGGACCCACCUCCCCACGGAAGAUGAUCGCGGAAUCGGCGACCACUUGGGCGAGAUGGCCCAAAGGGACAGAUUCAAGAGCAGAGAAGGAGCAAGACGAAGCAGAAGUAGAAGGGGGGGCGGAGGGCGUACCUGGCUCCAGGUUGCGGGCGGCAGCGCGAAGCUCAGCCCGCUCGGAGAUGGGGAGCGCCGGGUGGCCCGCGGGGUGAGCGGCGUCCAACCGAGCACUCCUGCGUCCGGCGACCACCGGGGAAGAGGCCGACCGGCCGCGGCGGGAGUAGGCGGCAGACCGAGGAGGGGGAGGCUGGGCCACCAGGGGGGUGAUGAUCUGGGCCGCCACCUCCCCAGAGGGCGACGAGGGGGGGGCCACCAAUCCCGGCCCAGCACAGNNNNNNNNNNNNNNNNNNNNNNNNNNNNNNNNNNNNNNNNNNNNNNNNNNNNNNNNNNNNNNNNNNNNNNNNNNNNNNNNNNNNNNNNNNNNNNNNNNNNNNNNNNNNNNNNNNNNNNNNNNNNNNNNNNNNNNNNNNNNNNNNNNNNNNNNNNNNNNNNNNNNNNNNNNNNNNNNNNNNNNNNNNNNNNNNNNNNNNNNNNNNNNNNNNNNNNNNNNNNNNNNNNNNNNNNNNNNNNNNAGGUGGCGAGGAGAUGAUGGAGGCUGGGGGAGGCGAGGCCGGAGGGGGGGGCGUCCGCAGGAGACGGCGACCCACCCUCAGGGGCCGCCGGCGCGGAGGGGAUGGGGCCGCCGGUCGGGUCGACAGGAGCCACCUUCGGAGCCGGGGGAGAGACGGGGGAGCGCGGAGAGGAGGCCGGGCAGACCACCAGGCCGACACUGGAGAUGUCGCUCCCCUCGGACGAUGACCCGUCAGGGAUCGGGGGGUCAUCAGCGGAGGGGCCUGGGGCGGCCUGGCGGCCCUUGCCCCCCGGAGCCGGAGGGGGGGGCGAGGGAGGAGGAGAGUGGGAGUCCUCGGACUCCCCCUCCUCGUCAGAGCAGUGGGAGCGCGAGUGGUGACGGCCGUGGUAGUCUCCGUCGGCCCCCCGGAAGUCGUCUGGGGGACCGACGUCGAGGGAGCGGGGGCGCCCAACGUGGUUGGGCGGCUCGGGGGCGAUCCUGAGGUCGAAGCCCUGGUCGUUGAAGAAGACCCGGACCGAGGUGUGCAGCCUGGUGGAGUCGAGACACUUGACUUUGACCCUGACCUCCUCCUCCUUGCGCAGUGAGAGCUCAUCAACCACCACCACCUUGCCCAAGAGGCGAGACAUCUGGCGGAUGACAAGCUCUGACCGCGCGAUGUCAGGGAGACCGGAGAUGAGGAUCCAAGCGGUGUCGAGGACGGCCACGACCUGGGCGUCGAGAACAGGCUCGGAGAUCUCAACCACCAGUUGGUUGAGGGCGAGGGUGAUCCGGCCACUACGCGUGCCGUAGCCGUAGCUGACGGAGUCGGGGAAGACGACGGAGAAGAUGUGGCUGGCGGUGGGGAUAACCACCCAGUCCCACUGACAACGGUAGAGGUGGUUGAGCUCGGCCUCGAUCAUCUCCGGGGAGGCCACCCCGUCAACGACCGUGACGAUCGCCUGAAGAGAGGGCGAAGGCGGAGGGGCAUCCGGGACCUCAAGGUGGAAGAAGCCCAACCCCUCGAUGUCGUGGCCAUACAUCAUGAGCUCGGACACCACCGGUCUGUCCGGACACAGAAUGGCGGGGUGGCCCGGAUCCUUGCAGAGGUAGCAGCACUGGGGGUUGACACAGGCAACCUGGGAGUGCCCCCUCACCCCACAGUUGAAGCAAGGGGGGCGAGGAAGACCGGAGACGGGGCCCGGAGCGGAGGGGGCCCCCGGACCCGAGGAUGGAGGGAUGGUCGGAGUGGGUCGGGCACCCCGACGCUUCUUCUUCUUGGCGGGGCCAGGGCGGCCGCGGGCGGGAGCGCCCCCAGAGGCCGGACCCGGGGCCGAGGACCCCGAGGCAGCGUGAGGCGGGACGUAGCGGCGGGUGUCCGGAGUGGGGAGGAUGCCAUCACGAACCGGACGGGCGGGGGAGGGGGACCGGUCCCUACGACGGGAGGGCGAGGGGGAGCGCCGGCGGCGCCAGUUGCCCGACGACUCUCGGGGCGAGCGUGACCGGGCCCGGUCAUCCCGACGGGAGGGGGAGCGGCGGCUGUCCCGGAGCUCCCGGAGCUCGCGCCGGAGCUCCUCCUCCCGUCGGAGGGAGUCGGGGGAGGGCCGGGACGAGUCGCGAGAAUCACCCCCCGCUUUGCGCUUCGCCCGGGGAGCCAGGUCCGCCUGGUCGCGCGGCAUGGCGAGCCGCAACCGGGCGGGAGGGGGCAGGGCGAGGCGGGCUACCGGCGUCAGAGAAGCCGCCGGACGGCCAGACGAGGGGGGAGGCGCGGCGAGAGGUGGAUGCGGGGCGAGGGCGGGAGCAGAAGGGGGCGGGGGAUCGGGGCGAGACGAGCCCGAAGCAGGGGAGGCGGCGCGCGAGGGAUGGGCGAGGGAGAGGCUUCGAGGGAGCCAGAAGGCGCUGGCCGGCACCUCCCUNNNNNNNNNNNNNNNNNNNNNNNNNNNNNNNNNNNNNNNNNNNNNNNNNNNNNNNNNNNNNNNNNNNNNNNNNNNNNNNNNNNNNNNNNNNNNNNNNNNNNNNNNNNNNNNNNNNNNNNNNNNNNNNNNNNNNNNNNNNNNNNNNNNNNNNNNNNNNNNNNNNNNNNNNNNNNNNNNNNNNNNNNNNNNNNNNNNNNNNNNNNNNNNNNNNNNNNNNNNNNNNNNNNNNNNNNNNNNNNNNNNNNNNNNNNNNNNNNNNNNNNNNNNNNNNNNNNNNNNNNNNNNNNNNNNNNNNNNNNNNNNNNNNNNNNNNNNNNNNNNNNNNNNNNNNNNNNNNNNNNNNNNNNNNNNNNNNNNNNNNNNNNNNNNNNNNNNNNNNNNNNNNNNNNNNNNNNNNNNNNNNNNNNNNNNNNNNNNNNNNNNNNNNNNNNNNNNNNNNNNNNNNNNNNNNNNNNNNNNNNNNNNNNNNACGGAGAGGGGGGAGGGGGGAAGGGGGCGUCGUCCGCGCAGUCGGCCCACCGGAAGGAGGCGCCCAGGGCAGCCGGCGCGGGGAGCGGCGGCGGAGCCGCGGGCGAGGGGGCCUGCAGGGAGGGAGAAGGGGAGGGCGACAGAGGAGUCUCGGCGGCGGCGGCGCAACCGGCUGCGGGAGCGCCCGCGGUGUCGCCCGUCAUCUUCCGCCACUUCCGUGCUUUUAACCCAACUCAAGCUGAAGAAACUUAUUCAAUGGUCACUGCUAACCGCUUUUGGUCCCAAAUCUUUGAUGCUCCUUUUUCCAAUAAACGCUGGUUACAUUUCUUUAUGCUAUUUGUACCCGUCACCGGUUAAUGGAUGAGUGCUAUUGGCGUAGUUGGCUUGGCUCUGAACUUACGUGCCUAUGACUUUGUUUCCCAGGAAAUCCGUGCAUCGGAAGAUUCUGAAUUUGAGACUUUCUACAUCAAAAAUAUUCUUUUAAACAAGGGUAUUCGUGCGUGGAUGAAAGCUCAGAAUCAGCCUCAUGAAAAUCUUAUAUUUCCUGGAAACACUCUUUAAUGGAACUUUCGUUUUAGCUGGUCGUGACCAAGAAACCACUGGCUUUGCUUGGUUGGUUGGGAAUGCCAGACUUAUCAAUUUGUCCGGUAAACUUCUUGGAGCUCAUGUAGCCCAUGCCGAAUGAAUCGUAUUCUGGGCCGGAGCAAUGAACCUAUUUGAAGUGGCCCAUUUUGUACCAGAAAAGCCCAUGUAUGAACAAGGGUUGAUUUUACUUCCACACUUAGCUACUCUAGGUUGGGGAGUAGGGCCCGGGGGGAGGGGGGGAAUUCUAGAUACUUUUCCGUACUUUGUAUCUGGCGUACUUCACCUAAUUUCCUCCGCAGUCUUAGGCUUCGGUGGCAUUUAUCACGCGCUUCUGGGACCCGAGACUCUUGAGGAAUCUUUUCCAUUCUUUGGUUAUGUCUGGAAAGAUAGUGUGACUUUGUACUAAAUCAGCGACACUUAUUUUGGGACGGAGGGAGUAUAUCAUUAUUAGAAAGGCAUCUGAGAAUCACUAUGACUGUGAAGAUGAUAGAAGCCUUGCAUCCAGCGCUAAUGUGGUUUUUCAUUAAUAUUUUUUUAUCACAACAUAAGCAAAUGUGUUUUCUCUUCUUACGUCUUGAUGACAUUAAGACUGAUAGCUCCUUGCAAGAACAGAUCUAAGCGUUUAUUUCUUCAACGCAAAAGCGAAUGUUUUGUUUCUGUGCAUUUCUGCAGCCCAGGCUCAUAUGCUAUUUUUAUUUACAAAUUAAUCGUGCACCAAAUGGAGUAUAUGCCAUUUUAUCCUAGGGCCGUAAUGAUGUUAAGAUUUUGAUGGAUUUUGUACAGUACCGUAAUUUACUAUUAAUAAUUCCUAGUUUGUAUGCCACUUUCUCCAAUAUUUUCCUCUAGGUUUCUUUGCUAUGAUAUGCCGAUCUUUGGAGGGAGCCAAAAACUUACCUUAAAUCUGUCAAUUUCCAUUUCAUUCAUCUUUCACGUUGCAAGCAAUGGACAUGAAAAACUGUCUGUUUUUACUUCCCAGAUGUGAUGGUAUGAGCAACUCCAAUAGCUCCUAUAAAAAUCUUCCUAAGAAGUCGUCUUACGGGGUGUCUGUACAAUUUAGGGGAGGUUGAUGGAUGACUAAUUUCUCAGUUCCCGUAAACAUGUACCCCUAGAAUAUGUUUUUUUUCCUAUUUCUCUUUUAAAAUUGGUCCAUAACACAAGGUACCUAACAUGUCACUGAGAAAAUGAAAGGUGAUGUCGGUCAGGGAAGGUCCGACGAAGUGGGCGGGGAGGCGCAGAGAAGGUCUGGCGAGGCGGCUGGCUGGCUCGAAGAGGUAGGCAGGCGACACUACCAGCGGCAGAGCAGUGGCUGCAGGGAGAGGUGGGCGGGCUGAACAGCGGGCGGUCGCCAGGCGUUGGCGGACAAGUGCGGGCGGCAGGUGAGGCGGGCCGACGGCGAGGGGGCUGCGUAGCGGCGCGAGGGUGUUCGAUGUGAAAGUUCAGGCAGUUUCAGCCCACCAAAAUUAUAUGGGAAGGGUCAUUUUCCUGUAAACGCAAGGAAAGUUUGGGGAAAUUAUAAGGGAUCCUGUAAAAGUUUCCGGGUUUACCGGACUUGUUGGAAAAUUAUUGGAGUUUACAGAUACAAGAACUAUUGGAGUUACUCUGAGUAUGAUCAAAACAAAUGUAACAUGAAUAUUAAGUCCUACUACAUGGAGGUUGGUUACUCUGGACUAGAUCAUUCAUGAUUAUCCUGUUUGCAAAUGCAACUUUCAUUCAACCAGUCACUCAUUCAUGAACUUCUGUCCAUUCCUUCAUUUCCGGCAUGGAAUUGGAAACUAAACAUGCAUGUAGAAUGAUCCAGAGUAACCAACUUUCAUGUAGUGCCAAGCAAGGUCACAAGACUCCGCAGUUUAACCUGAACGGCUCAUUCAACACAUAUACCGUGCAAAGAUUUUUUUUCUUCCUAAAAAGAGGUAACAAGGACUAGAGAUGUGUACAAGUAUUAUAUAUACCCAUGCCUUAGGAUGUCAAGUUGGGUGUGAUAUGGACAUGUUUAGCUUCAGUCCAUUUAAGAUAUUGGAGGUAAACAAAGAAAAUGGGAGAGUCAAGGUCAAGGAGGUGAAGGGAGAAUAGACUGAUUAGGACCACCAAUUUCUUGUCUUGCUUGUAGCCUCGAUGGUGUAGGAACUGUCGAUGGUGAGUUUGUCGUGAAGAGAGAAAGGAGAAAACCGCACUUGAAGAUUAGUUGCUUCUGCUCUACAGCUAUGGUUAGUGUAUGGUAUACAUAUCCUCUAUACAGGCGUUACCACCUACUUCUUUUGUUAGUACUGCCGUUCCAUCAAUCAUAAGUCUUUCAGCCGAUCAAUUAUGCAACUUGAUUAUUUUUAUCAACAGGUGACUAUAUUUGUUCUACAGGUUGUAGUGAUUGUCCUAUAUGUACCUGAUAUCUCCUCGGUAGCCUGUCUAGAAAUUGUCGGCAUUGUGCACUACACAAUAGCAAAAGCGAUACUAGAUGGAUGAGAUCAAUUUGUUACUUUUAUACUACAUUCACCAUUUAGCAUCAAUAGUUAAUAUACAAAAUGAAAAAUAUUUCAAGUUGUAUAAUAAAGUGAGAGUAUGCUUUAGUCAUGCUUGGUCUUUAGUAUGACCACCUAGCCCCGUUGAGGGGAUCUCGAUCGGACUGUCAUUGUUGUUGUGUGGAUGAGGGCGGGGGGAGAAGGCCUGGUUUCUCCCGUAGCAAAUGGAUAUAGUCGUCACUGAUGUUGUCGGUGUUUGAGAGCUUGGUUAAGUGAACCUGAAGAGGCGGGAAAUAUGUCAUUUUUCUCUCUUGGAUCAAAUGUCCCUUGUAAAGCGUUAUCUUUCUACCGUGGAUAUGAGAAAAAUAAUUUAAAUCAACAUCCGAGUAAUAAUUGCCAUAACUAUUAUUUGAGUCUGCUGGUGGCACAUGUGUUCUCUGCAGCGUGCCAGUGGUUGUGACACGUACGAGAGUGAGUGCGUACAUAUGUGGCUGUAUAUAGACAAUGCAGCUUGGCCACAUGUGGUGGGCAUGCCACUUAUUGCAAAAAGACCUGAGAAGAGAAGCAACAUCUUUGCCCUUGUGAAACACAACACACCACCGGCACUAGUAUGCAUAUUUAGCUGACAGGUGAACACAGUUACUACCUAGCUAGGGUCCCUGGGUGCUUAUAAAUAACAUCCCUGUGGAUGCUCCUUUAAAGGCACACCACUCACGCAGUCACGCUUAGCGUCGAUCUUCACACACUUCUUCUUCAACAUGCCUCCAGAUUCACCUACCCUCGCUCUCAAAGCGGCCACCAUUCUCGCCAUGCUUGCCAUGGUGAUCCUUCCAUCCGUGGGGAGCUCCCCGUCGCUGGGCCAAGAAGAACUAGUAACGACCCCGGCACCAGCAUCGGGUCCGGCGCUGGCGAUGCGGUGCAGCGAGUGUGGCCCACACUGCACAGGGAUGUGCAGAGUCUCUGUUCCCCCGAAGUGCCGCAAGUACUGCGACGUCCCCAGCUGCGAGGACUGCCGGUCUUCCGCGAUCGGCAAGUGCAGGGUAGGUUGCACCACUAGUAGCUGUGACUGCGACGGUGAGGCGACCCGGUCAUGCUAUGGCUUUUGCUCUGGCAGUUCUUCGUGCGCGGACUGCAUGAGGCUAACUAGUGAGCAGUGCACGAGUGAAUGCAACGGCAAGUGCGCCACCACUUGUACGAACAAAAUCAACCAAGGCAAAUAGGUCGGCUGGGCCUCUUGGUAUGUAUCCAUACCAUCUACGUAUGGUAUGGAUGUUGUAACUGCCAUAAUAUCGUACCUUUUUUGCAGUCAAAUAAAAAUCUGGUACCUUUCCUUUACUCCUUGUCAUAAAAUACCUCGCAAAUUAUUACUUGAUGGUAAUUUCAUUUGGAAUUACAACGCGCAUGUCAUGUGAUAUUUGUAUCUUUUACCAUAUUUAGUUUUUCGUUUCAUAGGAUAUAUUAGAUUAAAGACCUGAACAUAGAUGGUGGUGGUGGUGCUACCACACUGCCACUACUGACAAUGUUGCCACUUACUACUAGCACCACUACUACAAAUGUUGUCACUUACUACUAGCACUACCAUUACCACCACCACUACCUAAAUUUCAGUGAAAUGGAUCAUUCAAGAUCUACCACCAACACCACCACUACAACCUAAAUUUCAGUGAAAUGUUAGUACAAUAAAAGUAGCACCGACAUACAAUGGUUCAAGCAAAAUUUCAUUAUCAUAGAAUCAUCUGUGAUAAACUUGAGUAAGUAUGGUUGAUAGGAAGCAAUAGCUUCAUUUUCUCACAAUAAUUAUAAAAGACAAAUUGGAGACAUUAAAAUUUGAUUGCUAGCAUGAUCAGAUGCAUAAAGUCGUGCUUCGUGAAUAAAUUAAAAUUUUCAAUUGUAUGGAAGCAAGGCAUCAACAAAGUUGUGCUUUGUGAAUAAAUUAAGAUUUAAAUUGUAUGGAAGCAAGGCAUCAACGGGAAAAGCUUAUUUAUUAACUGAAGUAUGGCAAGUGUUAGGAAGCAUGAAAUUAUAUGGCAGCUCAAGAUAACUAUUUUUGGUUGGGAGAUAAAACAUUUGUAAUGUAGAACAUACUAAUACUGUGGCCAAUAAGAGGAUGCAUGUUUUGUUACGCAUAGAUAGGAAUUUAACCGAUUUACUAUUGUCUUGCACAAUGCACCAUUAGGUAUGAAUGUGACACAAACGGGAGAAACUGAACUCCCCGACGUGGGAUAUGGCGCGUGGUCAUGACGGGAAUGGAUCGAGCCAGGGUCAUCGUCACUCCACACGAUAUCACCUCCAUUGUCAGCCAUCAUCGCGAGGACACACAAAACUAACAGAGAAAUCACAAUCUACAUGCCAUGCAAAGAUCCAGGGUGCCCCAUCUCUCUGAGUAAGGGUAUAUGUUUUUUUAAUAAGGGCGGUAAAUGUGUUUGUUUAGUAACAUGGGUUUUUUUCUUUGAGGGAAAUGAUAGAUGGGGUUGAAACAGAGGCCCACAGGUGGAGCGAGUAAUUAGGCCCAACAUACAGGAACCAAAUUCUGAACUGGGCCAUGUUUUUCCCAGACCCAACGUCACAAGCCCAGCUCACAGUUGGCCUUUGUCUCAAAAAAAAAUACCUCACAGUUCGCCUAUCUGCGUCCUCCUCGCCAUGGCUCAAGGUACUCACUCACCCCCACUACCGCCAUGGCUCAAGGUACUCACAGUUCGGCACCAGCUUCNNNNNNNNNNNNNNNNNNNNNNNNNNNNNNNNNNNNNNNNNNNNNNNNNNNNNNNNNNNNNNNNNNNNNNNNNNNNNNNNNNNNNNNNNNNNNNNNNNNNNNNNNNNNNNNNNNNNNNNNNNNNNNNNNNNNNNNNNNNNNNNNNNNNNNNNNNNNNNNNNNNNNNNNNNNNNNNNNNNNNNNNNNNNNNNNNNNNNNNNNNNNNNNNNNNNNNNNNNNNNNNNNNNNNNNNNNNNNNNNNNNNNNNNNNNNNNNNNNNNNNNNNNNNNNNNNNNNNNNNNNNNNNNNNNNNNNNNNNNNNNNNNNNNNNNNNNNNNNNNNNNNNNNNNNNNNNNNNNNNNNNNNNNNNNNNNNNNNNNNNNNNNNNNNNNNNNNNNNNNNNNNNNNNNNNNNNNNNNNNNNNCUGCGGUCCUGUCUUCAACCUCUCUGGUGUCCUCUUCUGACCUCCCGUCUUACUUCCUCCGGCCUCGUCAAUGGGUACGACGACGGAAGCCAGUCCGGCCUUCCCGUCAACACAAGGUAUCAGUCCUGUUCGUCCAUUUCUUCCGCGAUUCGUCUCACAAGAAUUUAAUUGAAGGGGCACGCCCAAUGGAUGAAUCAGCAAGGUUAGGAAACAGAAUUCAGUUGCAUAGCCUGACGGACAGUGAUGUAGAUGUACAUAUGUGCUUUUCUAGCUUAACAACUCUGCGCUUUCUGUGGAUAUCACUUCAAAUAAUCAUCAAAUUUUCCAUCUGCGACAUCACUAUCAGGCGGACGGGAGGCAAUUGGCUUCGAAGUUCCGUUUCUUGAUGAAGUUCAUCCGCUCAGUGGCGGAGUUAUAUCCAGAAACAGAAAGGUGCCAUAGCACCCGGGUGGCCCGACACCCCCUAAUCCGGUUCGUCGAGUGACUUCAAGAUUCGCGUCGUGGAAUAGUUAGUGCAAGCCGCAUGCAUUGUCAGGUUAAUUUACUAGGCAAUUUGCAGAGACAAAACAGGACCUGUAGUAGCCUGUAGCAGGCAGUGUAGGGCCGGCAGUAGUGGGCACGGGUAGGCUAGAGAUAGCCCUGGACGAGGCUAGGUGGCCUAUCGGGAGAAAAGACAACACAUUCAAAAAUCAAGGACGUCGCUAACUGUCACAUGUGUGGCAGGAAAGGAGACGCACUACACGUCUCUUAUGCAAAUAGAUUACCACGUCAUCGCAUGCAUGCAUGCGAGAAUUGUUUUUGAUUUUCAGUUUUUAAAAUGUUUUAUCUCUUAAAUGAAAAAUCCGAUUGAAGAUUCGUUUUCAUCAUUAAAUCCCUCGCGACGAGAUCUACAAAACUAGAUCUCAUAUCGAUAUAUUUUGGUGAAUUUUUUUGGUCAAAAGUUGCCAUGUCUAUUGCACAUGAAUUUCCAUGAUAUUUACAUUGAAGUUGCCAUGAUAUGUUUCAACUAUUUUCUUUUACAUUAAAAUGUAAAUUUUAACAUAUUAUAAAACGGAGAAUUAAGAAAUUAGACUUGCCAUGCACCAUAAACUAAAAUUGCCAUGAUACAUGCACUUAAAAUUGUCAUGGUUCAAUAAAAAAAUAUUUUCAUGGUCAAAGUACUGGAAUUGCCAUCAUCAAAAAACUAAAAUUGCCAUGAUCUACAAACUAAAAUUGCCACAUGACAACUUUAGCUUAAGCACUUUGGCAACUAUAGUGUAAACAUCAUGGCAACUUCCGGGCAAAAAAAAAAUCAUCGAAACAUAUCAACAUGGGGUCUAGUUUUGAAGAUCUCGUCGAGACGGAUUUAAUGGUGAAAACGGAUUUUUAGUUUACUUUUUUAUUUAGGAGAUAAAACAUUUUUAAGCCGAAAACCAAAAAGAUUUCUGCUGAUGUCAUCUAUUUAUACGUGGCAAAAUGAGUGGUGAUGGAGGCGUGUGAGCGAUCUGCAAACGGCCACACGUGUGGGCGUUAGUUUUUCCGAAAAUCAAUACACUGUGGAUGCAUUGGCAGCAUUAGAUUGCAAAUAUGAUCGUAGCCAUUAAUAUUCUAAUCCCACAUUUUCAUGAUCUAAUUUCUAAAGGACUGGACAACAUGUUAUAGCCUUAUAUAGGGCUGAGCCACCAAAUCCACAUUUCUCUCGGUAUAAUUUCUAUAUGUUAAUCUGCAGCAUCUCCCGAUGAACCUAUUUUAGGAUAAGAAUUUUUUUAGAGCAUUUUUUGAUGUUUUUUUUUAUAAAAUCAAAUACAAUUCAGUGCAUUCCACAGUAGGUUUUCUGCCCCUAGCUAGUGGUAAAGAACAAGUUCAAUUCAGUCUUAUGAUGUUAUUAUUGAUGCCUUGUUCAAAUCAAAUGGACAAGCAUGUACUGUACUAAUCAGUGAUUUAUAUCUUAAUACCGAAAAUUUGUGCUGAUUUAUGAAUUUGUUGAUCCCGAGGUUCUGCUAAUCCGUGUACUAAUAUUUUUUUUGGGCAAUUUGGGUUAUUUUGGUCUCAUUAUGAGGACUGUGCUAAUAUGUGUUACAAAUAUGUUGUUGUGCCGACUAAUUUGUGCUAAUUCUGAAAAUAUGUGCGUCUAAUCGCCAAUAAUAUCAUGUGUAAAACCAAAAUGUCAUCGUUCUUGAGGACAUGAAAGCGCUGAUUCCAUGCUUUUCCUGCUGAUAUGCACUUUAGUAUAUGAAAAUGUACACUUACGUGGUGUUUAAAUUUUCAACUCACACUUAUAGAGACGUGCAGUGCACCAGCCAACUGGCGCAAGCUGUACAUUGACGGCAUACAGUUUCGGUCUUCCGGUCAACAUAAGUUAUCAUUCGUGCUAGUCCGUCUUUCUGUGACACGAUUAGCAUGACUUAAGAGGCACACCCAUCUACGUGCCAGUUGCCUGAAUCAGGAGGGCGAGGAAGCAGAAUUCAGUUGUGUAGCGCAACAGUGAUAUAUGUCUGCACUUUGCUAGCUGAAUAACUCUGUGCUCUAUGUGUACGUCACCUCAAGUACUCAUCAAGAAUUUACUCCUGCACGCGCUAUGCAGGUGGAGGAGAAGCAGUUCGCGUGGAAGUUCCGUGUCUCUGAUGUCUGAGAAGAAAGCUCUUACAGAGUUUUCGUCCGCUUGGUGGACUGGAGCGACAUCCAAGUUAAUUAUAGUGUCCAGUCAUCCCUAUAUUUCAGUGUUUCUUCUGUUUUGUACCAUCACAUUUCAUAUGUGCAUCGGAGGAAAUGUGCAUUCUACAUGAUGGAGAGGAUCAUGUCACACAGUCCCCAUUUACAAAGCCAUAGGCAGUGGCUGAAGAAUUUUUCUUCUAGUGUCACUGUUGUUCUAACUCUCUGUCUUCGAUUUUGGUGCUUCCGUAGUACGGUUGCAAAGCUAGGCUUCAUCUGAUUUUAGUUAGCUAAGCUGAUAAAGAGAAUUCCACAUGGCCCUUUAUUUCCAGCUUUCACUGUCUCACAAUAACAACACAUAUUAAGCUCACCAAACUAGAUCCAUACUCAUAACUUACCUUUCAUCAUUGAAUAACUGGAGAUUGCCAAGUUGUCUUUUAUCAUGUCAGUAUAUUAAGUAUUAUGUAUUUUCAUAUGAAGAAGAAAUAAUCAUCUGGGAUGUGGAGUUUCGGUGCUCGGGCGCAGCUGUACCCGAAAUCCCACUCGUUGGUUGUCGUCUGGGGAUUCCCAUAAUGUCCUCUGACAAGUCUGCAGCGAUGCGUUAGUAAUUCGGUAUACGGCGCGGCAGCGUAUGGUACAGUGCCUGGGCGCGGGCCCGAAUCGUAGGUGUGGCGAACGUCCCGUGUGCUUAUAAAGUUAUAAUUCUGGUCCGUUGACCAGAUAGUUUAGCUGUAGGCUGAGCCGUGGAGCAUGGGUUUGGCUCAGGAUCGCGUGUCUCGACGGCGUGUGUGACACACGAUCGUGGGGCCGCAGUUAUGGAGAGGCAGCUGCCGACAACUGAACCCCGCAAACCCUUCCUCUCGGCGGUUCUCGAAACCAGCCACCGCCGCGGGUCAGCUAUAAUCCAUCCCCAUUGCCAUUGAUGGCUGUUGCGGUAAGCGACGAUGGAGGACGCUGGCCUGGACUUCCUGCUGGACGCGGUCGACAGGUAAGAGAACUAUGCCCAAAUUCGAGAUCUAUCGUUUUUUUGGCGGCGAGGAGGAUACUGGUCGACACCUGAAUAUUUGGUGCUCCUCCACGUCUUGGACAUGUAUUUGCAGAUUUCCCCUCUGUAAAGACUUUGCAGAUUGCUUGGAGCACCCAGAUCCGGUUCCUCUGGCGCGGAUUGAUGCGCCGAGCGUUCAGCAGUCUGAAUCGAACGCUGGUUCCGGGUGCGGGCAGCUAGUUGGCGGCUGUAGCCAGGAGCGGCAAGCAGGCGAUGGGAGCCGUCGCCGUGAGACAUCUCCGGCGAGGUCCGCACAGUCAACAGACCAGUCCCGCAAGGGUGAACCCGGAGGCGCUGGGGUGGACAAAAAGGUUCUGUAACCAUUGCAUUCCGUCUGCUCUGAAUUUUUUCCUGGAGUGCAACUCCAUUUGUCCUAGUACGGAGUGUAGUUCACUGCCAUGAUAUCUGUAACAAACUGUGACAGACUGACAGUAAUUGUUUUUUGAUGAACGGUUGGCAGAUACCAGGCAUGCUGAAUGUUGUCUCCAGCAGGGGAUUAGUCACUCGAUUUUAGGCAUGUCAACAAAGGUGCAUGUAUAGGUACAGACAAGGAAAUGUUAUUCAGAGUUCGUAGAUUCAAAAAUCUAGAAACCCAUAAGAAGUGGAACUCUAGUUGACAAAAUAAGCAGGAGGCAUGAUUUUUGAAUUUCACGGCAGACCAUCAAUAGUACAUAGGAAAAAUGUAUUUCCUGUUUAAACUGUGUUUGCUUUCGUUCAGGUGUCAAUUUUUUUGAAUAAGUUGAAAGUUUGUUUCCAUGGUUAGUGUGAGCAUCCCCGUCAUCAGAAAACAUAUUUUGCAUCUGAUAUCCUGAACUGCUUUUGGCGCAUUUCAGGUUACUGAGACUUAUAAUUAUGUGUUGUUCGAGUACCAGCCCCGCCUUCCAGGCCCUGUCUCCUGUUGUGCACAACUUACCAAGCUUGCAUUUUGAUGUAAAAUCAGGUUGCGUCUUGACAGUGCGCCACCAGACAGAACCCCGCGUGCAUCAAGGAUGAGUGCUCUAGAGACGUCGUUUCGCAAGUUUGCCGAGGAACCAACGAAAAGUGUGGUUCGUCCUGAAUUAGGAUUAAAUUUUGAUUCACUUGGUGAGGCGUAUAACUUCUACAAUUUGUACUCAAGGGAGAUCGGUUUCGGGAUAAGAUAUGGGAAAAGCAUGUUGAACGCAGAGAUGGUGAAAUCAAUGCAGGAGAUUGUUGGGAGUAGUCUAGGAAACAUUCUUGCACAUUGGUUGGGUUUCGAGUUUUGUUGCAUUAUAUGGAAGUGUUGGGAGUAGUCUAGGAAACAUUCUUGCAGAUUGGUUGGGUUUCGAGGACCGUCAGGGAAACAUUCUUGCAGGGGGGCUGCCUGGGAAUGGUAAAGUUACGAUACUAGCAAAUGGUGGUGCUGACUGCGAAAUGGGCCCAACUCAGUCGGUCAGUGUGAAUGCCCUAGUAGGAUUAGCUCCACCAGAUAAACAACGAGGGGCUGGCAGGCCAACGAAUAGCUGAGAUAAAGCACCAUAUGAGGGUUUGAGCAGGCGAACACGGUUCUGCAGUAUUUGUAGGUGCGAAGGACACAAGAGGACAACCUACCCCGACCGGGGAGAUGCCGCGAAGAAACGGCGCAGACCAGGGAAGUGCAAAAAAUGUGGCAUGAAAGGACAUCGCCGGAACACGUGCACGUGACCAAUUGGUGGGGUGCAGAAUCAAAAUUGUUAAACUAAUUAGUUUUAAAUUCUGUACUUGCAGUAUGAGGAUUUUCCGGAUUUUCCGGUGUAUCUCAGUGAGAUGUGCUCCAACGCUUGUUCCUCCAGUUCUAGACAUGCAACUAACUUGUGUAAAGGAGAAGAACUUGGUUCGGCAUUGUUGAAUAUCUGUGGUGGAUACACAUUUUACGUUGCUGUGUGUGUUCUGAUCAGGAUUGCAAUGUUAUUUCUUUUCUGCUCACCAUGCGUGUCUGGGACUGAUGCGUUGUGUGUGUUUAUGCUCCAAGGGAUUCAAAAUUUGAAUCAUCUGUCGGAGUAGAUGAAGAAUCGUGAGGGGUUCAGGGGUGUCCUCCAACGCCCGCCCCACCCCCAUGAAGACAUGGCGAGCAGCUCAUUCCUUAGCAGGCAGCAGGCAAGGUUUGAAAAACCAGCACGGUGACCUGUGUUGAGUGGCGCCUACACCUGCAGGCGGGACGACGAGGAGCUCUGCCGGCGGUGGCGAGGGAGCAUGUAAGGAAGCACAGGUACGAGGUGUGGUUAAGUUUUUGUUUCGCUUGGUAACCUCUGCAUGCUUCGGCGUCUGUAUCUUCUGCAGCUGCCUGAAGCAAUUAGGACGAUGGCGUCAACCACUGGGGGAGCUAUGUGGUAUGCUGCAGGUGCCAUGGCCCCCCAGCCCAUGAAUAUUUUGUGAAGAAACACUGUUUAUGAUGACACAAAUUAAAAUAAAUACAGUGUUUAGCCCCUCUACACAAUUAUAUUUGGCUAUUUGCCCCCUCAGUAAUAUCUCGCUAGCUCCUCCGCCACUUGCGUCAACUGCAUGGAGCUGCACCGACCUGGGUGAUGGAGCUGCGGACGAUGUCGGCGAGGUGAGUAGGGGAACAACCUGUUUGUUAGUACUACGUAGCCUGGAGUGUAGGUAAGCACGUGGUGACGUGGACCAGUUACGACCAAGACGGCUGCUAACAAGUUUGAGACGGCUCAGCCAGGCACGGGAAAGAGAACUGAGCCGUGCGGAACCAGGUGUUCCGCUCGAUCGGGCCGGCUGCCAUCGCAAUUAAUGGAGUCACCUGCACCCCACAUUUAUGUAGAAAUACAGCCAAUAUACCCUGCAGUCGGGUGGCACAAAUCCCCAUGAGAUCGGACGAUGAUGAGUGCGGGAGCAGCUGAGGCUGAGCUCAGAAACCAAUUUUCGUAAUCAUCUGCCCGUAAUCAUCUGCACACUCUCAACCAACCUGAGAACAGCAUACAGAAUGAUGAUGUAUGUGGCGUCAUGGCAGCCGCACAUCGGAUAUAGGACGGGGUCAGGCAGCGCUAUUUUUUUCUAUUUACUCCCUUUACCGAACAGUACUCUCGGUAAACUACCUUGGCACGUAGCUACACCACCAUUUGCGUCGUCCCGUCUGAUCGCUUUUUUUUGCCGAGUGACCGUAUUUGAAACUCGGUAAAGACUUUGUCGAGUGUUCGACAAAUGGAUCUCGACAAAUUUCUGUUUGCUGAAAAGGGGUAUGCCGAGUGUCCUUUGCCGAGUGUUUUUGGCACCCACACUCUCAGGUUUUAUGGUUUCUACCUUAGGUUGCUUAUUUUGCAUUCUAUGAAGAACAAAUGUGGUAUAGUAUGAGAGCAUGAAAAGAGCAAAACAAAGUAAUGCGCAAACAAUAGCCCGCCCCCCUUCCCAGACACACACAAACACCCUGCUGCCAACAACUCCUUUUCCGUACCGAGCACAAUAAUUAUUGGAUUGAUGUAGCGAUUUUUUGCAACCACUCAAAGGACAUAAAAACAAGGAAAAAACUGGAAACAUAUUUAAAAUUAACUAGCUAGUGGUGUCCGUGAAGUUCAAGAAAAAGCUAGAUUUUUUCUCGACAACAAGUUAAUGUGCAAAGAAUUAAUAAAUGUAUUUGCAAAAAAAGAAAGCAAAUAGAAUUAACGAUUAAACCAGUUUAGGUUUUCACUGCAGACAAUGGUAGUAGUCGGAACCAGAUACAAACCAAUAAAAAACAGGAUCUCAAAUCUCCAACCAUUAAAGAGUUGUAUGUUAGUCCUAUCUUCUGUUCAACCCAAAUUUUACAAUAACACUAUUAUACUUAAAUCUUUAUUAUUGCAAUACAUAAAUAAGUAAUUAAUGCACCAGCUUGCGGUUGUAACCAGGCAAGAUGAACCUAUGAACUCGCAAGCAUGCCAAUCAGAUCGACAUCCACACAACACCGGUAUGAACAUUGUCUAGAUAAAACUUUAUUUGUAUUUUAUUCCAUAAUUUAAACUAGUUUGUGCGGGUCACACAUGACAUUGUGUGACACUUUAUUUGUCACCGCUACAUCGACAUAUCCAUCGACUAAGCAACGACAAUCCAACUAUAUAUUACUAGAGAUAUUUUCUUAUCAGUAGGCACCAACUCGGGUGCCAACGCCGAAUGGCACAAUAGUGGUGGUGCCGUACACCGGCACGUUGACACUGCACAUCGUUGGCAGGGUACGAAGUGCAAUGGAAGUCAUCACCUCAAGUUGAGCUAUUUGGUGUGGCUGCAACAAGGUACCCUGGGGUACCUGUUGUUGUUGAGGCCAUUGACCCAGUUGUUGUUGUUGAGGUUGUUGGAAAGAACACUGUCCGAGCUGCUUCUGUUGUUGUUGGGGUUGGGAGACACCUUGGACCGACUGUUGGGGUUGUUGCUGCUGAGGUUGGUUCAAACCCUGACCAUGUUGUUGUUCUUGUAGGACGAUCGAGUAGAUGAUGGCACGGAUUGCAUCGUAGCGUGAUUGUUCGGGGAUUUGCGGCAGCUGCCGGCAACAUUGUUGCUGCAUCACAUGGCAACUACUCUGCCACAACAUUUGCGACCUAGCAAGACUUUGUGGCAUUGCCACAGGGCUGCAUUGCUGCUGGAGGAAUACCUUGCAUGGGUUUAGCUGCUGCAAGAUAGAUGGCUGAACAGAUGGUAUUUGUUGUUGCGGUAGAACUGGUUGUUGGUGUUGUGAAAAUGGUGGUUGUUGCAGUAGAAUUGGUUGUUGUUGUUGCUGCGAAAAUGGUGGUUGUUGCUGCUGCUGAGAAAAUGGUGGUUGUUGCUGCGAAAAUGGUGGUUGUUGCGGUAAAAGUGGUUGUUGUUGCUGCGGAAAUUGUUGUUGUUGCUGCGAAAAUGGUGGUUGUUGCGGUAGAAUGGGUUGUUGUUGCUGCGAAAAUGGUGGUUGUUGUUGUGAAAAUGGUGGUUGUUGUUGCUGCGAUAAUGGUGGUUGUUGUUGCUGUGAACAUGGUGGCUGUUGUGGAAAUGGUUGUGGUUGUUGUUGGAUGGGUUGUUGUUGUUGGUACCAUAAUAUUUGUUGUAGUGGUAAUGGUUGUUGUUGCAAUGGUUUCUCCAAGCUAGGGAUGUGGCUAGUCUCCAUUUGUGCAAUGGCACUUGUCGCCGCAACGGCGAGGAGGGCAAAGAUGAGGAAGGUCUUCAUGGUGGAUUGGUGUUAAAUAGUGUUGCUUGGUUUUGAUGCUUGUGCUUGUGAUGAUCAUUAUACUUCAUGCCUAUUUAUAGUAGCCCGUGCACCAUCUCUUUCCUUCUUUGCAUCAGCUUUAAUAAUUGUGUUUGGAUGUUUCUGAAAUGGAUUUUUGGUACAUUAUGGUAGGUUGCACUAGCUAUAAGCGUACUUUUGGAUUGAUCAUCAAAGUUGCUUUUUGGUUGUGCAUAUGAUUAUACACAAAGUACAUGAUGUUUGAAGUAGAUGACUUGCCUUAUUCACUUUACAUGUCACGCAUUUAUCAGGAUAGUAUCACUUCUACACCCGAUUUGGGAAAAAGUACAUAAUCUUUGCUAUAGAUAACUUGCCUUAUUCGCUUUACAUGUCAUGCACUUAUCAGGAUAUUAUCACUUUUACACCCGAUUUUGGAACCUUGUAUAGGGUGUCAGCCUUAAACAAGAAAAGGAAAAACUUGUGUAGGACUAAGUUGCAAUCAUGUGUGGGUUGUUAGGAUAUGCUCCAUUAUUAAAGCCUUACAUGUGGAGGGUUCUUCUAGACUCGAUUGUUUUUUAUAGAACUAACUAUGUAUUGUCCUUUAAGAUGAUAAGAUAAACUGACACCUAUAGAGCAUGACAUGACUCAUCGAAUUCCCUUUACAUGUAAAGGAUUGUAAUUGCUUACAAGUCACUAACAUAUAUCCGGUCCUAACUCUAGACACAUCAUCAUUAGUUUGAUCUUUGUGUUAAGGAUUUUUAUUUGAUCAGAUCAUUCUUUUGGCGGACUAAGUUUGCAAUAUUGUGUAAAUAUUUCACGGGGUGCACCUGGUCUCUUUUACUAAAUCUUUGGGGCAGGAGGUUGAUAUUUAUUUGAAUUGUGUAGAACAUUUACAUAGGUAACCUACUAGAAUUAUUAUAUGUUCAUUAUACUAUGACGACAAACAUAUAUAGUUUGGUUUACUGUGGUUCAUGUUUAGGUGUAUAAGAAUGAAUUUAUGUAUAUCGAGGUACUUUAUCAACCCAAAAUGAAAAAUGCCAAACAUUUUAACAUUUUUCAUCAACAAACCUUUAGAACCCCUAUUCGCGGCUAUCCUCCUAGAUCAUGGACAACCAGCAUAUUUCAUUUGUAGGAUUUUGACAAGGUCUUGAUUCUCUCCCACAUAAAAUGUUCUAGAUUGUUUCAUGGCAACUUGUUUGUGCCCGGAUAUUUUCAAUCUUCUUAUCUAGGCCAUACAUAUGUUUUUCUGUCAUUAAUCUAUUAACUGCUGAAUGAAGAGGUCCCAAAUGAUAAAGAAAAACUAUGUUAGGAGUAUGGGCAUCUCCACCACUUGUUUCAAUAAAACCAGAGGAUUUUAUGAUUAUGAAUUUGGUUCGAAAUAUGUUAAUGAUAUGUGCACUCGAUCUGAGCCAAUAUCCGAUGAAUUGAAAAGUGUUAAAUGGCCCAUGGAUAAAUUUAUAUUUGUUCACAAGUAUCAGAAAUCUGGAAUGGUGACACUACAUAUUCAAUUCAAAUUUGAAAAUACAUCUGAUCCCAGCUACGGAGGUCGCCAUGUGCCUCAAAGGAGUCUCCAUCGCAACUCUGGUCGUCUGCAAUUACACUAGAUGGCAGGCUAGUCUGUCAUCCAUCGUGGGAAUCCGCCGACAGGGCAGGUCAGAGGUCCUGUGGUUGCAACUAGCAGGUUAUUCAUCCAAUCUAUGUCCGUCAGUUAGUGCUCGAUCCUGCAGUAAAUGGUACUUGUAUGGAUAUAUAGUUGCAGAGAGGAAUUUCUUUGACUAGUGUUCGAUCUGAUUGCUAGCUGGAUUGGUGGAGAAAUUGCUACUUCCUCGUGCUAGGGCAGCAGUGGACAAUUAGUACAGACAGACCUGGCAAAAAAAUCCAAUGCGUAUAUUAAGUGGAGAUAGUACUAGAUCUGAUGUCUGCAGGAGAUACUAGUAGAUGUUAUACUGCACACUGGCACAGUAUGAGGUCAUUAUGUUGUUCUGUACAAAGUCUGUCACUUAGAUGUACAUAUAUGAGUGACAACCGCAUAUAUAUUUCUUGCAAAAUCCAUGCUUCCUUGCAGGUGGAAGGCCCUCAUGGUGCCCCCGAGACAGAGCCUGUUCCCUAUUUGGUACGGUGAGUAUUGAAUCGAAACGCAAAAUAUGCACUUAUUGAUUUGUCGAUCUCACAUUAUAUGCAUCUGAUAGGAGAGGUUAUCGUCAGAGGUUGUGGAACAAUCUGAAGGACACUUGUGGUUAAGCAGCAGCAUCAGGUGAGGUGUUCAUGUCAGUCAGUUGGUGGUCAGACUGGCACUUGUUUAAUUUGGAUGGUACAAUUUUCUAUUCACAUUGGUAAAUGCCAAUGGACAAUGACCAGCUUGGAUUCGCAUGUUGAAUUUGGAUGAUACAGGUGAGGAAGAAACUAAAAAAACACUAGUUAUGUGGUCACCUGGAACUCCAGAGUGUUUCUUGGUGCCAUAUAGUCUUGCUUUGCUGCAGUUAUAGACUUUAUAAAUGCCCUGAGCUAUUUUGGCAGCAUCGGUGUCGUUUCAUUGUUGUUUUAGCAGGGGCUUUUGAUAAAAAGAGAAGUGAAAAGAAAAAUAUUACGCACGCCUAGGUUAUGUCAUGAUUGUUAUCGGCUUUGUCGAACUUUGACCUCUGUCUUCUUCAGAUAACUGUAAUGUGAAUUAAUAAUCUCCUUCCACAUUUCCUAGGAUUAUAGAAGUUGGUAUGUUGUCGCAGCUGUGAAGUACUUAUCUUACCAAUUAUAGUGUCGUUACUUAGUUGAGGUGACAAUGUUGGAAUUAUGUGUCCUGCAACUAUAUUCAAAUUACUUGGAAUUGUUAAUAUUCGAAUUGCCUCAUUAUGAAAUUAUACAUGUAUUUAUACAUGGAAUUGCUUUACAUGUUUAGCAUGGAAUUGUUACUUGCUGGAAUGUACUUAAGUAAUAUAUGCUUAAGGAAGCUGGUCAAUUCUCAGUAGAAUAUAAUAUUACUAUUUAUAUUGAAAAUACUACCCGGGAACGCUGAUGAUUUGAAGGAGCUAGAUAGUGUAGUUAGAUUAUAGUCCUAAUGUUGAUCUACAUAAUUAGAGGAAUUUACAUUCUAUUAUGAUGUGUUGCUCACAAGCGCGUGCUCCAGGGACAUAACGGAUAGAAUCUGUUAACAAACAAAUACGAUCGUGGUUGGUAAUUUGAUUUAGACUCUAUCCAGGAAACUAGUUGUAACGACUAGGAAUCUUAUAUGUAUAAGAGGUGGACUCUUUGAAAAGACAGUACAAGAAGGUGCCAUCUCUAGUCCAGAUAUGCGAAUUGUGAGCGGCGCCAUGGAUAAAUAGACCACAAACCCUAAAUUUCUAACAGACAAGACGUUGAAAUUUUAUCUUGUGUUCGGAUAGCAUUAUUUGAAACCGUGAGUUGUCUGUUUCUGUACUGAUGGCACCCCAAAAGUGCUGGUUACUGGGGAGGUGUAUGCGGCAUGCCGAAUCAUUCUUCCUCGGGAGGCCCUAAAGCUUCAACUUGUUGAGAAACUGUCUGCACUCUGCAGUUUGGAACCUUACGGAAGGAUGCUGUGAAUUUCAUGGAUAGUGGGCUUCCCUGAUGGCUGCUCUGCUACUGCUAGCUUACGGAAUGGCUUCUACAACUGAACUGUACUGCAGUCGCUCUUGACUGAGAAUUGUUGGGGCCCGCGGUGUAGGGUGACUGCUUGGCGUUGAGUUGAGCUGCAACGCUGAAUCAAACCCUGGACGACACAAACGAUCUGAUCUAGAUUUGGUUUGAUGCUCGUCCUUUGGGUUGGUACCCAUGACAGGCACGGGUCGCCAGCAGUUUACUAUCAUCCAUGGUUCUUUAGCCCUGUGGUGUUCUACUUAUCUGAAAAACUUCUUGUUUUUGAAAUGUCAACUGGGGUAUAUAUAUUUUUCAAAAACAGGAAGUCAUCAGUUUGUGAUCAUACAGCAGAGGUGAAGAGAGGGGCAGAGGGCCAGGCAGUUACACAUAGAUUACAAUAUACAGACAGCAGCCAGGCGGGGUGUCAGCGAGCAGGGUUGCUAGAAUGAGCUGAAUUGCCUCUUUUUUCUACCGAACCUGAAGAUUUGUGCCUAACAUUGAAAAGGUUCCAUAUGACGAUGCAAUCCAAAUUGCCUUUUCGAUCGACUACUCUCAUAUGUAGUAGGUUAUACCAAUGACAACAACAGCAGAUUUAUAUCCCACAAAAAACAUGCAGCAGCAGUGCAGCUGAAGCUAAAAUAUAUAUGUUGGUUACUGAAGCUAAGUCGUAAGCACUUUUCACGGUGAUGAUCCAGGCUUUUCCUUGUUUCCACAUAAUUACCUGAGUUCAAUGAUCUGCAUUUCUCAGGUAUCGCUUGUUUCAUACAUCGAAUGCUAUUUAUCGGCCUAUCCAUGCAAUUUGAAAAUUCACUGCUGAAUGUCGGUUGUGUUCUGCGAAUAAGUGAAUGGUGGUGGUUAUUUGAAACCUAUGCCCAAUUGUGGUGGUUACUUGCAAUAUACUCCUAGAGCUUAAAGCACACGUUUUGGGCAGUAAGUCAGAUAUAUGCAUUAUAGUUUCUUUCUUGAAAGCUAUGUGUUAUGUGACACUGAUCAGACUACUAGUUCUGGAAACAAAUACAUGUGCAGAUGCCAUGCCAGCUUAUGCAAGUUGGUUAACAUUUUUGAAAAAUGAGUGGCUGUGUGCAUCACACAUAGGCCUGGAUUUAACCUCCUUUCCCGGGGGAAAAGGCAAGUUACUUAAUAGUUACAAUCAGGUUAAGUAACUGAAGAAAUUAAGCAGUUGACCCAAAUGCAGCUUUCAGGCUGCCCCAAGCAACAUUAAACUGGGCUUGUGUAAAAUAUUAGUGCAGUUUAUGGUCAGAUGGCCUUGUCGAGAUCGAUGAUGGAUAUUUUAUUUUGGUUGUAUGUUUCGAUCUAAUCCAUAACUGAUGAUACUACAUGCAACUAGGACACGAGUGAAUAAUCUACUUAAGAGCUGCAUCAUGAAGGGAAAACAAGUAAGCUAAGUACAUGGAUUAGAGCAUCUGCACACAUCUCAAGUGGUUGACUUAAGACUGAUUAACAAGCUUAUGUUGUUUCUUACUGAAGCUAGAGCAGACUUGUAUUUCAAGGAAGCGAGAAUGUAUAUAAGUCUUGCUCACGUCUCCUUCCCCUCUCUUGUACCUAUAACUAUCUAUCUCUCCAUUACCAGAUCAUCAGUAUUUACUUGUAUGACGGCAAAAAAUAAUAACAAGAAAAAUUUCACUGCAGAACCUCCUUCAGGCACAAAAUAAUGACCCGAGGAAUAACAAAGUUGGUUUCAAUGAAAGUAAUUAUCGAAGGAGGUUUCAAUACCCAAUGAAUUUAUGUAUGAUUGACUAAUGGUCCUACCUUUUCCAUAAUAUGUUGCUGGUUUUCCUUGAUAAUUGUUUGGAAAGCGUUGAAUUUAGCAUGUUUUAAUCACAAGUGGCCUUCUGAUCCGUCUGUUAUCAUGUUUAGGGUAGCUUACUGGAAUAAUGAUUGGAGUUCCCUGUAGGUGAUGGAGGACGCAAAACGAGCGCUACGACGGGACGCAGGACUUCUGGAAUGAGUCACAACUAAAGUUUUUCAAGCCAGAAAAAGCUUGGUGCCAUGGAUUCCCCGGCUGGAAGAUGGGACUUGAAUUUGGGAUUGUGUCUAUUCCAUUAGUGGUGUUGUCCUGGUUAAUAGCUGGGUGUUGGCAUCGGCAUGUUCAUUGUAAAACACUGUGUAUUUUCGUGUCUUCGUUGUGUUGGUUGUUCCCCUACUCUGUUGCUCAGCUAGGGUUGCAAGGAGGGAUGCCUUAAAAACUUAAUUCCGUGUCCGUGUUGUGUUGGUGGUGGUUGCGUUUUGGUUGUAAAAACCACUUGGUUUCAUUAAUGAAACUGAUAAAAAAAAGUAAGCAUAAACCUUUCAGUGGAAUAUCCAAAAAAGUCCAGGCCAACUGUUUUGAGAGAACAUUUUGCAAUAAGAAAAUUUAGUAGCUACAAUCAGAAUAGAAAUGUUCUUAUCUGAUUCACAUGUUAUCCAUUUGUUCUCUUGUGUUUAAGUGAGUAAUUGCACCAAUUUCGAACAUACAAUAGGUCGUCAAUGUAGCUCAUAUGAAGUGUGCAAUAAGUAAUGAUCCGUGGUAUGGGAGUAUACUCUUCAUAUUCACAUUGACUACACAAACCAAACUUUAUUAUCAGAUCCACACUGACAAGAUAUGAUCCCAAACACACAACCAAACAUAUAUCAUAACUAUAACAAACAAAUGGACAUGGAUUUUUGAAUUAAUAGAAUAUCCCAGGCUAAAAAUCCACAGAUUACUUGAAAAGGAAAAAAUUGACAAAGCUUGUACAGUUCCUUUCAUAGCUACCCGUAUAUGGGUAGCUACAGCCCACCUAGUUUUUGAACAUAUUAUUGGAUGGUGGCGCCAGAUGUAGUGUCCUGCAAAAAAAAGGUAUAAUCAACAUGGCUACAUACCAAGAAACCAAUCAUUAAGGUACUGAUGGAAAUUUGUCAGGAAAAUGUAACAAUCAUAAUGCCAGAUGACUAAAACUAGCUUUGAAAUUUAUAGGCUUAUUUGUUACAUAACCUUAACUACGUCCAAUUGUCAAUACCAUGACGUUUAAAUUUCUUUCAGCUGGACAAGAUAUACAUGCUAGAAACACGAAGAAAAAUAUAUACAGAUUAAGUAGUUGAAUGUAUGUACUUACAGAAGCUUUGACGUAGAAUGCAUGGAUAUUGAGUUCUUUAAUAGUUUGGAACGUAGGGGGGUUGGUGAGUGCGUAAUACUUGAUGAUCCCACGUGCCAUAGCAAACUCUCCAGUCCCACCCAUAAUGGCCAUCUGGCCUUGGCCUGUUUGAAAAUUGAUCCCCAUCGCUUCGAAUGAUGAUCCAUUGUACCUGAUAUAGUUUUAUAGGGCAAUAUCACAUAUCAUAUGAAACUGGAAAAUCUUUAGUAUUUGAGAUCUUUGUAACAAACCAUAUAUGCUAUAUAACCGGGAAAACUAAAACUUGUACUAGUCCAAAAGUAUAUAAAAAUGACCUAGAGUUCUUCUCGAACACCAUGCUGAAGUAGUUGAACCAGCCUGGACCGGCUACAUCAGCCUGCACUUGCAUGCCUUUGGUACGGGCAACAAUGGUGGCAGUAGCGGGGUUUGGUCCAUCAAUCACAGUCCAGUCGGUAACUGCAGUUAGACCAAACUCUGAUGGUUUGCUGGAGGUAACAAUUGCUACCUGGUUGAUGCCUGGUCCGGCGGCGAUUUGGUGCAAGUACAAGCGCAUGUUAACCUCGGACUCACACUGAAGAACACAGGAUAGGGAUGCAGAUGCCAUGGAUAGAAUGGAAUGCAGGAUUAGGAUCAUGGACAGGACUAAAAGGCUAGGGCUAGCCAUUUCUAGCUAGGAUUUUGGCUGGCUGAAGAAGAUGGUAGCUAGGAGGUGUGUCCGUAAACUGACUCUUUCCUUUGUCGAGUGUGUUAGCUGUGUGAGAGACACUUGAGUCUAGGGUACUAUUUGUAGUGCUCCAGAACUAGCUAGCAUAUUCGUUCCAUAUCCUCUUUUUUCAUUUCUCUUUGGGAUGAUCCAUUUCAUAUCCUUUUUAGUUUCUUUUUUUUUCAACUGUCAUUUCAGUUAGGAUAGACAACUACACAUGUGUGACUGAUUCCUUGUACAUCUAUCAACCCUCGGAGAUCACAAAGGUCAAGUGCCUUUUGAGGAACUACCCUUUUUUCCUUGAAAUACAAUGUGUACAUGGUAAUGCAGCAUUGACAAAGACUAAAAUGAAUUAGACGCCCAUUCUUAUCUUUACAUCUAAUUGUAUCUCCGGAUGAGCAGCAGCCUAGAUUUUCCACCUGGACAACGAGCACACUGUCACUACUCCUACAAUACAAAGUUCAAAUACAAGGAUUCAUCGCCGUUGAAUCUGUGAAUCGAUGCGCCGCUCCCCCGCUCCCCCGCUGGGGAAUCGGGUAAAAGGCCGCUCCCCCGCUCCCUAGGGUUUCCCCGCCGCCGCCGGCGGCUCCCCCGCGCGGAGCCGCCGCCGCGGCGGCCGGAGACCGCCGGAGCCGCCAGCCCCCUCCUCUCCCCGUUCCCCUUCUCCUCCCCCCACCCCUCCUCCGCGCCCCCGUACCCCCGCGCCGCCUCCCCGAGCGAGGCGGCCGGGGGCCCUUCCUCCGUGCGCCUCCAGCCCCUCCCCACGCCCAUCCCUCCUCCCGCCGCCGUCAGCCUACGCCGCCGGUCCUCAGCCGCGUGAUGCUGGCGGCGGUGGGCUUGCCCUUCCCCGCUCGCGGUCCUCCCCUGCUCGGGCGAUGAUGGCCGGAGGCGGUGCGCCUUGGCCGGUGGUGGUCCGGCGUCCUUGUUGGAGGCCGGCGGUGCUCGCCGUGGUGGUGCCGCCUCUUGGCGGCGGGGUGGUCCGGUGGUGCUGGCCGGCUGGGGGCGUGUCCCCGGCCCAGAUCUGGGCCCGUAGGGUCCCUUCCGGGUCCUUGCGGGUUGGCUCCGGCGCGACCGUGACGCUCUCUGUAUGGGGAGGCAGGGGAGCGGCUUGGAUUGGGACAGCGACACAGAUGGUGUUCCAGCUGCUGCGCGGAGGCGGGAGCUGUCCGGGCCUUUGACGGCCCGGCCGGGCCUAUGGGGCCACGGGCCCGGUAGGCUCCUGCCAUGGCGUCCGGUCGGCUACCGUCGUGGACGGUGGAGGUGGGGCCCUCCCGUAUGCCAACGGUGUUGUUGCCCUAGUCCCGGCUCCUCUUCUCCGUUGUGCAGACCAUCUUCGUGGUGCCGUGGUGAGACAGCGUGGGAAGCUUCAUGUCCGUGUUGGCGCAGGGUGGUGGCCGGUCUGGUGGCGAGCUCCGGAGUGCCUGAGGUAGAGGCUGGGAUCGGGAGAAAUCUCUGUUGGCUUGGUCAACACCGACGUGGUGGCGUCUGAGGGUGCCGCCGGACCUUCCUUGAGGGCGUCGGGGCUACCCUUCCUCUCUCCUCGUCGUGUACCGGGGGAAACCCUUGGCAGCAGCGUCGUCAUCGUCGCGUCCCUUCUUGGAGGUGUUGUUGGGUACCGGCACUUCGGAGUCUCGGAGCUUGGUGGGCGAUCUCCGGUGGGCGCAGCGGUCACGAGGCUUCGUCGUUUUUGUCGAUCCACCAUUAUCGGCAUUUGUUUCUUUUCUUUUUUCUCUUUCCAUUCUUUUGGGCAUGUUUGUGCUGCUUCCGCCCCAGCCCCUAUCGUCGGUUGUAUUGGUUGAUUGCUUUGUAAUACAAAGCGGGGGGAAACCCCUUUUCUCAAAUCCAAGGAUUCGUGCUGCUUGUAAGUUAGAUACAUAGUUCAUCAAAUGACAUUUAAUUAUCUGGCUCAGUUUAUAGCUGCGAUUGGAGAUGCAACCCCCCACCCAUGGAACCCAGGUCAAAAGCUUUCCUUUCACCUCUUCUUUCCGCCGCCACCGACGUCGCUGCUCUUGUUGGGGCAGACUUGAUGCCAAAGACAGGAGGAAGCGGCCUUGGCAACAUCGCUGGUCUUGUUGAGGCAGCCUUGAUGCCAAAGACAGGAGGAAGCCGCCACACAACACUUCAGUUUGGUGGUGCUCUUCAAAUACCGGAUCUCGAUUUCCAGAGGGGAAACUCUAGCUCAGGCCUUCAUUCACUGUACGUUGGAAUGGCGAUGUUUCGACAUUGUUCCCUUGUUGAAGACAUUGUCUUGAGAUUGCUCGGAAGUCCUAUUCAGGGUGAAAACUCAUGAUCUAGCCUCUAUUAGAUUGGUGACAACAGUGAUCAUCCCUUUCCUAGAGGUGUCGUUGUUGGAGAUCCUUUCUCAUAGUUCGGGUAGUUCCAUUAGCGCAGGUUGGUGUUGGCCACUGAUGCAUGCCAUUGAUUGCUUCAACAUGAAUUUUGUAUGUCCUGUCUUUUUUUAAUAAUUUGGAUGUGUGCAACCCUGAUGGCUGGAUUAGCACAUUGCUUCUUGUAGAGGCUGCAGGGUGGAUGGGAGUGGGGCCGGGGGCAGUGGUGCCGACCGAAAACUAGCAAAUUUACUAUCAUCUUGAUUAACAUAUUUUUAGCGGUUUGUUCCUUGCAAAAAAAGACUAUCAAUGUAUCAAUUAUGCAAGCUAGUUUAAGACCAUUCACAAAUUAUUAUCAAAUGGUUCUAUUAAUGUCAACUGCAUUCAGGAGUCAUGCAUGACGUCAACCAUGUCAAAUUAUUGAAGGUUUAACCUCUGGCUUAGAAACAAAACUUAUGCGUACCAUAGGCCUGCAAAAAUUAAACCACUGUACAUGACAACCACACAAAUAUAAUACCUAGUGGGCAACCUCCGUACGACAACCACAGAAAUAUAAUACUUUUGACAAGUUUAUCAAUGCUACUUGCGUGUUGUCUAAUAAGUAGUGACCUUCAUAAGGAAUUGCGUCGAUCCAAGGAUAACAUCUUAAUUAGCAUACUACUAAGAUUCGAAGACAUAUACUCUUGAAAGUCAGUUGUGCCAUUAGUCAGAUGUGUAUACAGUAUACAAUCCAAUUGUAUGUAUAUGUAUGUCAGUAUGUGUGCUCAUCAACGGUUCACCAUGUUUUGAAGCAACCCAGUCAUCAGUAUGACCGAGUGUUCAGAUAUAUCCAGUAUACAUGCAUUCACGAGUGCUCUUAUUGCUUGUGUGUAACCCAUGUGGUGUGUUUGUUGAUGUAACUUCAUCAAAUAUGCAUCUAUAAUUGAAGGGAGAACCUAUCCUUCAAUUAUGGAUUAGUCGAUUUUCCUAGCCUACUGUUUAUCUUUUUCGCCCACCCUUCUCCACUUCUUUGACCCGUUCCCAACCGUCUGCCAAGCCGUCUGCUAUCUGUGGUGCCGCCAGCCACGCCGUCCGCCGUCGGUGGUGCUUCCGCGUGUGCCCCGGAGCCCUGCCCUGCUCAGUUUGAGCCGCCAUCUCUGCCAUCCCUCUGCACCCUGGCCAUCCCUACAAACCUCCCCACAGUCCCUGGNNNNNNNNNNNNNNNNNNNNNNNNNNNNNNNNNNNNNNNNNNNNNNNNNNNNNNNNNNNNNNNNNNNNNNNNNNNNNNNNNNNNNNNNNNNNNNNNNNNNNNNNNNNNNNNNNNNNNNNNNNNNNNNNNNNNNNNNNNNNNNNNNNNNNNNNNNNNNNNNNNNNNNNNNNNNNNNNNNNNNNNNNNNNNNNNNNNNNNNNNNNNNNNNNNNNNNNNNNNNNNNNNNNNNNNNNNNNNNNNNNNNNNNNNNNNNNNNNNNNNNNNNNNNNNNNNNNNNNNNNNNNNNNNNNNNNNNNNNNNNNNNNNNNNNNNNNNNNNNNNNNNNNNNNNNNNNNNNNNNNNNNNNNNNNNNNNNNNNNNNNNNNNAACCUGUCAAGCCAUUUUCCUCUCCUCCGUCUGCGACCGUGCGGCUAGUCACGACAUCCCGUCUCGUGCUCGAUGUUGCGGUGUGUUGCUCUCUGCAAACCGAGUUGGAUGACGCGAGGAAAAGAAUCAAGACUGAGUAAUAGAAAUUUCCAUGAUUGAAUAUUUCAGUUUGGCAAAACUUUUCAUACAUUUCUAUGGAUUUUCACUGUCAUAGAAACAAAAAAACGUAACAAGGAAAGAAGACGAUGUCCCUUCAUAGGAUUGCAUGGAGGUAACAGAGAUCCAUGUCUUGAAAACGUGGGAAAGAAAGGAGCACGCAAUUGAAAACAAACACCUCAUAAAACUUACACUAGUGCAUACUACGUCGUAAGAACAUCUACAACCGAACCCAAAUGUGACCCCUACACGUCCGUGGAUGCGUCCACAGACAGCGACCGGUCACCCCUUAUAUCUCCGCGUCCUCUUCCGUCCCCCUCAAAUCCAUGCUAACAACAAAACGUCAUCAACAUUUUAUGUAGAAACAAUUUGAACAUAGCAGUAUAAAAACAUAUAUAUUGGGAAUGGCAAGUUUCAUACAAUCGGACACAAAAUGUCCAUCAUCACCUAGAUAUGAUAAGCCUAAACAAUAGAUAAACUCCUACAUGUAGGCGUUGGCUGUCGGAGGGGAUUUGUCGUUGUCCUCGCUCAUCAUGCCGCUGACAUAGGACAGCAUCGAGGAGAUGAUCCCGACCAGACGCCGGACGGCGCAGGCCUGCUCCUUGGUGAGUCGGGCGGCUCUCGUGAGGUUCCUGAAAUCGUCGAUGUCGAGCCAGAGAGCCUUUGCAGUUUUCCUACGUCGGGCAUCCAUCUCUGCUGAUGUCAAUUUUCAGAGGCUGACAUCACGGAGGAGCUCCUCCUCCAGGUCAACCAGCGUGGACCUACAGAAUUCGCAGACACUGCAGGAGGAACCAGCAUUCUCACAGACCUACUGCCUAGCACGGCCGGCUCGCGCCUCUCAUUUGUACGUCCUCCUUGAAAGCUCGUGGUGCGGGAACAAGCAUCCUGCUCCAACCGGGAGGAGCGGAGCCCAAAGUGGUAGAGUAGGGUCACAAAGGGCGAUGGAUCUGGACCGGUGCAAACCGCGACGGGCUGCAUUGCCUCGUCGGCCAACGGGAUAGAAGGCAGAGCUCAAAUUCCUACCCCUGUCCAUCCAUGACCGGCGGAGCGAGGCGCAUGCAAAGGGCGAGUUCUCCUCAUCAUCCAGAUCCGAUUGCGGCAAGGCAUCCCAGUCGAUGGGCUUCGCCUCGUUGCUGGAUCCGCCACUGAAAUCGCUGCCAGAAUCAACCCAUAUGGUAGCCUGAGAAGAGGAAGCAAUGGAGAUGGGAGCGAACAUGACUGGAGUGGAAGGGGAGAGAAGAAGCCAGCACUGAGCUAUGUUUGCACCCUAGUGGAGAUGGGUCGGGCGAGCACGAACGGGUCCAAUAUGACGGCCGCGUCAGGGAGUGUCGAUCUACCCCAGACGAUAGGGCUAACUAUGUGGGGUCCGGUUGGGUGGCAAUUAUGGGCUGAGUAGUGACCGGGCUGUCCGCCCAUACGUUUGGGAGGAUAUGAGUGCUCCUUUGUACAUGCUUUAAAUCUGGGCAUGAGAAGCCGCACCUGCCGGUGCCUAUGCUGGGCUUGUCCCUCUUAGCUGGAAAGCCCCAAAAAGUCAAGGACCUUAUUUUUGGGAUUUUAUAUGAGAAAUAGGUAUGGUAUUGUAUCAAUUUGUCCUAAAAUAAUUCUUUUAUUAUAUUUAAAUAAAAAUAUAGCCAUUUUCGUGGCCAAGCGAGGUGGGAUAAGACCCGGGCUCGGAAUUUUCAGGCCGGGAUCUAGCAGGUCCGUCAGUUUUAAUCAAUUUAUUUCUUUUUCAGUUCUAAGCUGUUUUAAGUACCUGGUCAGCAAUCUCUAACCAAUGAUAAGAUAACAAGACUAGGCCUACUAUCAAUUUUCAUAGUCAAUUGUGUCCCUGGUCACAUUACUCCAAUCCAUCUAUAUUUAUGCGUGCUCAUAACCAGUUCACCUUGUUUGAAAUAAGCCCAGUUAUGUUUCCUUUUUGCAAGAAAGUACCGCAUUUAUAUUAAAUGACUUCCAACAUCCCGGAAAACAGAUCGUCGACGUGGUCCAGUGCAUCACAGGUGGCAACAAUGAACUGAAAGAAAUUGCGAAAUUUAAGGUAGUUGUUAGUGGCAGGAUCUAGUUUGAAGGUGAUCUAGGAAUGGAUGUUGGUUUUAUGGACGGUAUGGGGGCCUAGAGUUAGGAAAAAGGAUUGAGAGGGUAAUAGAGAGAGCACCAGCUACAGUAUUGAGGGCACCAUGGAGCUGAGAAACUGGGAGAGGUUUAACACCCUCUGGUUCUGAAGAAGAAGAAAAAUAAUACCACAAGCCUGCAAAGUAAACCAACAUAUAGAAUUAAGAAGCAAUUUAACAAUACUUAGUGGGCAAUCUCCGUGACAACCAUCAAAAUAUUGCUAUGCUGUUAAGGAAUUAUUUCUUUGAAUAAGCUUGGUACUAGUUGUAAUAGUUGCAUGUUGUCUAAUAUGUGACGUUAGUAAGGAAUUGCGUCAAGCAAAUUAUAGCAUCUUAAUUAUCAUAUUACCAAGACCUGAAGAUAUAUACAACCUUGAAGCCUUAAGAGCUAGAGCCAUUGCCUAUUUUUUCUUAGAAAUUGGGCCAACCCUGUCGCGUACGGAUUUAUUUAGUAGUAAUUAUUCUGUAUAUUUUCAUGGAUAUAUAGGAAUAGGCAGUGUAUAUGUGGAGUGCACACAAUCUUGUUCAACUUUUCUUUGCUGGAAGUAAGCUGUUUUAAGUACUUGGUCAGUAAUCACAAAUCAAUGAUAAGAUCGUAAGACUGGGCCUACUAAUAUAAUCCCUCCGUCCCAAAAUUCUUGUCUUAUAUUUGUCUAGAUACGGAUGUAUCUAAUACUAAAAUGUGACUUGAUACAACCGUAUUUAGACAAAUCUAAGACAAGAAUUUUGGGACAGGGGAGUACUUUCAAAGUCAACUGCGGCCGCUAGUCAGAUGUGUACCACAAGACAGUUACAUAUAUCAUGCUCAGCACGAGUUCACAUUGUUUUAAAAGCAACCCAGACAUAAGUAUGAGUGUUAGUUCAAACAUAUUUGUAAAAGAACACUCGUUUAUACACUUUAGGAGUUAAUACAUUCAUGAGUGGUUUUUUCAUCAUGUAACUGGCACGGAGUGUUACUGAAUAUAACUUUAUUAUUUAUUACAUUUCUUAGGAUUCUUCCUAUCAUGAAACUAGCGGUACUGCCUGCUCAGUUGCGCGGCAAGAUUUUGAUUUGUCAUUUUAAAUUUGGAAACUAUAUUUUGGCAUUUUAAAUAUUUCUUAACACUUUGUAAAUAUGCAUUCUUGUAAUUACCUAAUUGCGAAUGAGGAAUUCAUCAGCAAAGGAAUGCCAAGAAAUAGUCGGUCCCACAAAAAAGGCUGAAAUUAAGUGUUUUUACUAAAAGACAUUCAAUUAGAACAUAUCAUGUAAGAAGGCCUAAAUUCAUCCAUACAUACGCAUUAAGUAUACUUGUGGGGUUAACAAUUUUAAGCAUGUAUACAUGUACAUCUAUUAUCUAUUAUAUAAUUAAGACAAGAGGCAAACAAGCCAUCACGUUCGUCCACAUAUGAUAAUAUUUUGUACACCGUUUCAUUAGAAUAAUAACGGUUGAGAUUUAAAGAUUCUUACGUAACAUCGUAAAAUAGAUGUGCCAGUACAAUUGAACUGUCAUGUUGUCAUGUUAUAUGCAUGUAUAAGCAUUAGGUAUGUAAAAAGAAGAAAAAAAGAGUAAAAAGACAUAUUGGUUUGUCGCGUUACAUGUACCGUCACGUAAAAGAGAUGGACACAGAAGGGUGCAAAUAACCAUGACGUGCACACAUGUACAUACAUGAAUAAGAGUUCUAGGAAAACUAAAGAUGAAAGUAGGGUCACGUGAGAAUUAGAAAGGGAAACCUAGGGGACGAAACUAGAACGUGAAGGCAGACUUCAACUUGGACACGUACAUGUUCUCAAAAAAAAAAAACUUGGACAUGUGCAUGUAACGGAGAAAAAAGCUUUGCAUGAAGGGUAUUCACUGGAAAAGAAUAUGCAUAUGUAAAUCUACCAACUUACAAGGAAACAUACUAAAAAGUCUAGCGUUCUAACGCAUAGCAUAAAAACCUUAUACUCUAUACUGUUACACAACAAAAAAUCAGCUAUUAGGCUCAAAUUAAAAUUUAACCGGUAGAACUGCACAUGCAAUUCAAACUAAAUAUAUUAUUGGUAAUUAGUCAUUCGCUAAUUUAUGAGAAGACGCUGCAAGACAACAAUAUAUUACCGAUUUUAUAUGAAUAUACACCAAUAGUUUUUUUUAAAAUAUACACCAACAGUUCUUAGCCUUAUAUGGUCAGGCUACAUAAACAAUUAGAGUACGAGGACUUUGUCAAGAACAUUUAGAAGCAUGUGUCGAAAGCCGAUAUCGAUGAUACUGCACUAUCUAUAAAAGGAAUGCACAACAAAUAGAGGUACACAACAUAAAUCUUACAUAUUUAAUUGAUGAUGAAAUGAUUUGGCGUGGUAAGAAUCUAAGAUAGGUGUAAUUGGUCACCUUUCGUCGGGCAUCGGUGGAUGUCGAAAGGAUUUCAACCUAAAAGACACACAUUUCAAGUAUAAUAUUUUUUGUAUUUAAAAAUCACAUAUCAGUGGCAAUGUGGCAUUCGACUUAACAUUUAUGUGUUGGAGGAAAUAGCGACUAACCAAGAGCAGUAGAAAUGUGGAAUUUGAUUAGUGUUAUGGGACAAGCGGCUAGCUUGGUAAGCUACCAACAAAAAAUUGCAAUCAAUGAUUAGUGUUAUGGAAUUAUAUGGCUUAGUAUUGUAAGGUGCUGAUCUCCAUGACAUAGCACACUUGAAAGAAGUAUUGUUAAACUGACGAUUCCAAGGUCUUAUGGCUUUCUCGGAGAUGCACAUUUUGGUCAUACGUUACUAUAUAAUAUAAAAGUUGGUGUUGAAAACAAUACUACAUAACAAUUAGACUCGAAUGAAUGAUAGAGAAUAUUUUACCAAAAGAAGAAAUCAAGCAUUAAUUAAGGAAAAAUCUGUGUCCUGCCUUUUUUUUGUUUUGAAAUCCGGUUAUAUUCAAAUAACUGGGCAGUGGGCACCAUUAGAACUGAACAAGCCCUGGACAGCCCAAGCGAGAAUAUUGUAUCAACUUUAACCAUGAAGUGGCUUUGAUAGUUACCUCACAAUGAGAAGAUGUACAAGCAUAUAAACGUAUAUAUGGAUAUAUGACAUGUAUUUAUAAGAACACAUGUGCAUAAACAGACGGUGUAUUGCUACAAGCCAACAAUUAAUGUUUAGAUUUUAUUGACAAAAAUUCUACAAGAAUAUUUGGUGAAAAGAUAAAUGAAAAUGGAUUUGAGAAGGUGGAAUAGUGAAAGCCACGUAUUAGUACAAAAUCAUAUGGUUUUCCAUGGUGGGACACAUGCCUUGGUUCUGUCUAUCUUUGAUUGCCAUAAUAACCCAGUCUGUACCAACAUCUUUAUACAUAUUACAAAAAUAUACGAUGUGAACUUUGGUGAUGAUUUAUAUAGAUAUAAAAAAAAUGUAAUUGGUUAUAUAAAUAUUUAUAUAAUGACAGAUCAAAUAAAAGAAGAUACAUAGAGAAAUAACAGCACAAAACAUAUAAUAUAAAUAAAGGAAGUCUAGCCGCGCAAACGCGCGGGUCACUAUAUAUAAAAUAGCUGGGCAACUAAGUUUUGGUGAACUUAUUGUGGAAGUACAUGUCGUCCCACGUUAUAUGAAGUGUGUGGUCGUUCUUGUCAUUAAGUAAGGAUACCCAUUCAGAGCAGGAUGCUUUAUGGCUAAGCUCCUAUAUUACUGCCGGCCCAAGUUGAUGACAGAGAAACUCCUGAUCAAACAAGCUGAUAUACGGGAGCACAUCACCUUGUCGAUGCUAUGGAGGAACUUGACGCCGAGACCGCGAUUAGUCAUCGCUUGAUCAAUAUCUGCGAGGAACUUGAGCUGCUACCCAUACUUGGUGACAGACAUGGUGCUCUCCUUGAGCAUGUGGUACUUGACGCUAAGACUGAUGAUGUGUGCGGAGUUAUUGUUGAGGAAGUACUGGUGGAGGCGAUUCCAUGCCGACAAGGCAAUGCCGUCAUUGGACAUCGCAAGUCCAGAAGACCAUCGUCGAUCAUGGUAUAGACCCACAACAUGAUCCUGAUGUCAGCACGCUGCUACUCGGGGUCAUCAAUUUCAAGUUCAGAUGUUGAAUAAUGUGGUUGAGUUCGGAGGCGGGGAGGACGAACCAGAAGAAAUGCACCAUUUAUGGUAGUUGUUGACAACUUGGGUCGAGUUUAAAGGUGAAGUAGGACUGGAUGUUGGUAUUAUGGACGACAAUCGGGCAUGAAGUUUGUAAAAGGGGUUGGGAGGUAAGAAGAGGGAGUAGAAGAAAUAGUGGCGACGGGCGCCAUGGCAUCAACAGAGAAACAUGGAGAGGUCUUGGGGGUUUGCGCCAUAAGUGACGUGGUGCUGGAGUUGGUCUGGCUGUUGUUCACUGGUGUUACCAAGCUGAACUCAGUAAUAUGUAUUGUUUGCCUCAAGGUUUACAAGUGUAAAUGUGCACAAUAUAUAGAGAAAGGUCACAGAGAGAGGCCUAACUAACUUCAACANNNNNNNNNNNNNNNNNNNNNNNNNNNNNNNNNNNNNNNNNNNNNNNNNNNNNNNNNNNNNNNNNNNNNNNNNNNNNNNNNNNNNNNNNNNNNNNNNNNNNNNNNNNNNNNNNNNNNNNNNNNNNNNNNNNNNNNNNNNNNNNNNNNNNNNNNNNNNNNNNNNNNNNNNNNNNNNNNNNNNNNNNNNNNNNNNNNNNNNNNNNNNNNNNNNNNNNNNNNNNNNNNNNNNNNNNNNNNNNNNAUGGGCUCUAGUACAACACGGUUGAGUUACAACAGUACAUACAUAUGGUGCGUAGAUGUUUAAUAAUAUUGAUUUGAAUUCAUGUAUGACGGGGUAACAAAUGGCAAAGAUUAACAAUAACAUUAGACUGCCUGCAAUAGGAAUAUCAUACUAGCUAGUAUCAUGCACGACAACUAAGCAUUUUUUAUGAGGUGAAUAUAAAUGAAGAAAAAAAGAGUCCAGUAUUAUAUCAUGAUAUCGUAUCAUAAUAAAUGUUAUGCUCCUAUGUGUCAUACAUAACAACAAAUAAGGCCAUAUCUAAGAUACUAAUACACGAUAUUAUGCAUUAUAGAGGUAAUAUGAUAGAAUAGUAUCAUAUGCAUGAUAUGAACUUAUGAUAUGUACAACUCAUUACGGGAGCCUUAGCCACGCAAAUGUAUGGGUCAUUUUGCUAUAAAUGAUCCUUCUGACGUCAAACUGCACGCAUUAUUGCACAGAUCACUUGCGUAGAAUUUAGCACAAAAAAUAUUGGUGCGCAGGGUAUAUGCUAUAUCAAAGUCAACCACAGUUAAUUAAGUGACACGAAUAAGAACUAGCUGUAUUCGCAAAAAAAAUGAAUAAGAACUAACUAGGUUUUCUUAUUAUUUUAUUGGCGGUGUAGUACUAGCUAUCCAGCUAUGGCUAUCCUCGCAUUGGCUCCCUAUAAAUAGCAUCCUGCUCCCUCAUAUGGACAUGUACCAGUUAAGCAGCCAGCUAGCUCAUCUCCAUUGCAUCUGUUCUUGCUCUAUUCUCCAUUAGAACCUCCCAAUUCAUCAAUGGCUUCAUCUCUGAAGGUGGCCGCUGUCGUCGCGGUUUGCAUCCUGCUUGUCCUGAACAUGGGCCAGCCGGCGGCAGCCACAGAAUGUGAAGAUUGUCUAGGCGCCUGUGUUGGCAUCUGCAUCGCCUACGCUGAAACAUCAUGCACCGGCAUAUGCACCGCCAUAACUCCUGCAUGUCAGGCAUGUAAGGACGCGGCCUUAAUUGAGUGCGGUGCAACAUGCUAUGGCGGUUGUACCCUCCUCUGCUAAACCACCGGCCGGCUGUGCCCUGUUGCUCGCCGUAAGCUAGGUGCAUGCUUGUGUUCGUUGUUACUUCGUUGUUGCUAUUAUAAGCCAAAUAAGCGAACUAAUGCCGUUGCUGUGUGCAUGUGGCAAAAGUUCCUUCGUUUUAUUGUUCCACCUCGUUUCAACCAUCAGUAAAUAUACUUGUGUGCAAGUUGUGUAUGUUUUGUGCUUCUUCGUACAUAUCAUGUGUCCAAUGUGUUGUCAUACUUAAACAAUAGGGAUAUAUCCUUAUCAAGAGAACGCAGUUCCAAAGUAUGUAGUUUCGCUUCCCUCACGGUAGGGUUUCUUCUUUCACUCAGCGCCUCAUAGUGGCGUAAAGAUUGCAUCUAAUUCCUUCACAACUUGUCUUCUUCCAGCAUAAAACUCCGUCCUAAAUUUUCUAUGAUUUUUCUUGUUCACCGAAAAUACUAGUUUCCUUUGCUGUGCUUGAUCGUUCAUGAAUUAUUCCAACUAGUUCCAUGCAAGACUAGUUUAAGACCAUGGACGGAUUAAUGUUAAGUGGUAGCUUAUUAUAUUGAUGCCAACUCCAUUAUAUGUAGAAGGGUUGACACCAUGGGCCCGCAAAGUAAACCAAUAUAUGGAAUUAAGCAUGCAAUUUAGGAAUACUUAAUGUGUAGUCUCCGUGGUAGCGACCAAAAUAUUGCAAACAGCGAUUUUCUAAUGCUAAGGAAUCAUUACUUUGAACAAGUUUCUCGGUGCUAGUUGCGUGUAGUCUAAUACGUAGUGGCAUUCAUGAGGAAUUGUGCCAAUCAAUGGAUAAUAUCUUAGUAGUCGCAUAUUACUCCGUCCAUUUGAAAAUACUUGUCGAAGAAAUGAAUAAAAAUGGAUGUAUCUAGAAGUAAAAUACGUUAGACACAUCCAUUUCAACGACAAUAUUUCUGGACCGCUCAUUGAUAUGGUCUAAUCUAGCAAGAACUACUAUUACAAGUACUUCGCAGCUACGUGCACCUGCUUCAUCGAGCAGGUUUACAUUCGCGGGGUGGGUAAUAAAAUGAGCGGCCCUGGUGUGCCCUAGUCGUAGUUGCCGACAUGCAUGGGUCAGCCGCUACGUACUUUCUUGCGUGUAAAGAGUGACCAAUGACACAGAUUGCGUGUAAAGAGUGCCUCUCAGCAGAAAAGCCCCCAAAAUCCCAUGAGACCUUAUUUUUGGGAUUUUAUAUGAUAACUAUGUAUGAUACUGCAUCAAUUAAUCACAAAAUAAUUUAUUUAUUAUUUUUAAAUAUAAAUAUAACUAUUUUGUGCCCAAGGGAGGUGGGGUCAGACCCUGGCCUCGGCAUUCUCAUACCGGUUCUGGCAGGCCCAACCAUUUUAACAUAUUUAUUUAUUUAUUUAUUCCGUGACUAAGCCGUUUUAAGUACUUGGUCAGCAAUCUCUAACCAAUGAUAAGAUCACAAGACAAGGCCUACUAUCUAUCUUCAUAGUCAACUGUGCCGCUAGUCACACUACUCCAAUCCAGUUAUAUUGAUGCGUGCUCAUCAUCAGUUCACCAUGUUUUAAAGCAACCGAGUUAUCUUUCUUUUUUGCGUGAAAGCUCCGUCUUUAUAUUAAAAUACUUCCAACAUUCCGGAAAAAAUAUCGUUGAUGUGGUUAAGAAGCAAUUUAACAAUACUUAGUGGGCAAUCUCCAUGACAACCAUCAAAAUAUUGCUAGCUAGUUUUCUAAUGCAAAGGAAUUAUUGCUUUCAAUAAGCUCGGUACUAGUUGCAUUGUUGUCUAAUAUGUGACGUUGGUAAGAAAUUGCCUCCAGCAAAGGAUAACAUCUUAAUUAACAUUAAGAGCUAGAGCCUUGCCUAUUUUUUCCUAGAAACUGGGCCAACGUUGUCGCGUACGGAUUAAUAAAGUAGUAAGUAUUCUGUAUUUUCUCAUUGAUAUAUAGGAAUGGACCAGUGUAUAUGUGGAGUGCACACAAUCCCUUGCUGGAACUAAGCCGUUUUAAGUACUUGGUCAGCAAUAUCAAACCAAUGAUAAGUACACAAGACUGGGCAUCCUUUAUAACACUAAGCUCCCUAGUUUUAAUGAGCGUACAUUCAAUUGAGGUUUCCAGUUAAAAUUGAGUCCCGAUUUUGACCGAGUCAACAAUUUCUCAAAGCCCCAUGAUUCUAUUCUUUUAUUGCUUUCUAAUUUUUUAGGCCUCACAACUAAUUGAUGUAUUAAAUUUAGAAUUGGGUCAUCCAAAUUUGAUCGAGUCAACAAUUUCUCAAGCUCACACUUUCAAUUCUUUUCAUUCACCAUAUUCCAAAAUUUUGAAGCUCUCAUUCAAUUGAGGUAUUCAAUUUUGAUUUGGUUUACUGUUUUGACUGGUCCAACGAUUUUUCAAAUCAAUCAACAACAACCGACCUAUAAAAACAUAUCAAUCCUCCGCACCCUCCCACCACCUAAAAGAAGCAUCGUCAUGUGAUACUAUAGCAUCAAUAUAGUACAUGCAAUCAUCGACACGGAAAUGUCCACACAUAAUUAUAGGUUGUUUAGCCAAUAACACGGAAUCACACCAUGAAAGGCGCACCAAAUCACCGCAUUAUAAGUAAAAAUAAACCACACUAUCAUCUCUUCCACCCGCCAAACUAAAUAUUCCAUCAGCUAUAAAAUAUAAGGGGUCCCCAACACGCACGAGGAUUAGCCCCCGCGUCGUCUUCCUGGCGGCUCGGGGGAGAAAAAACCCUAGCCACCGCGACUCCUCCCCCUCCCCUCCUAGUCUCGCCGCCGCCGGAGGGGUCGCCCUGGAAAAGGCCGGGCGGCCUUGAGGAAGCUGGCGGCGGGGCAACGAUUCCCUUUUGGUGGCGCGAGCAUGCGAGAGCUCCGCGCGCGGCAGAGGAGUUGCGGACGGCGGCAGCCACCGCCACGGGACGGGAAAAGCACGGCGAUCCAGUUGGCCUGGCGCUGCGGGCGCACCAUGCGUGGCGACGGUGUGGCCUAUGAUCUCCUACUUGGCGGCUUGGAUCUGGGGCUUCUGAUCUGGGUCGGGCAUCCAGGUUGGGGCUUUGCCUGGUGUCACGGUGACGGCUACUCUGCUGCGUGCUGGCCUGUUGGUGGUGGCCGGCCAGGAGGCGGCGGUGGAUCUGGCUUCAGAUCUAUCCGGUGGCAAGUUUGGAGUGGCAAGACUUUCAGAGAAAACCAAGCCUCAACUACGGUCAUGGUGGACGAUGGCGGCGUCUUUUGGCGUCGUUACCUUGUCGAAGGCAUCGUCAUAGCAAGUCGCGUCACUCCUUUCGGCCUGCUCUGGGGGAAACCCUAGAUCUGUUGUCAUGGAUCGGGCGAUGGCGACGUCAGGCACCGCGCUCCUUGCUGGGGGCAUCGUUUUGGAGCAGGUACCGACUUGGGUGGACAGGUGGUGGAGCGGCGUGGUAUCUAUCGCUCAUCAACGACUGGUCUCGGCGGCGUGGCGCAGCGGGGUCUCGCUGACAGAUGCGAGAUGAUGGACGCCCGCAGGGGGGCGGCGCUGUCUGGCGUCAUGGUGGUGUCGACAGCAGCUAGACCCGGCGAGGUAGAUGCAAUAGUACAUCACUGAAAAUGGAUUGGUGGCAGGUGGCUGCGACGGCCUCAUACCUGGUAGGCGUCCUGGUUGAGGAGUACGCCGGACUGGUGGGUGCCCCAUACCCGGCAGACGUCCUCGUUGGGACCUCAGGUCUUAGAUGUUUGGUUUGGUUGUGAGGUAUGUUUGUUAUUAGGCCCAGACUAUCAGCAUCCCUUCAUCAACUGGAUUGGAGUAAUGACAGAUGUUGCCUAGACGGUGACUUUAGUCUUACUAUUGUAUGACUUUGUAAGGUCUUAUGUGAAUAAUUAAUAAAGUGGAUGCAUGCAUCGUCCAGAUGCAGAGGCCGGGAGUCCUUCUCCUUUUCUAAAAAAUAUAAUAAAAUAUAAAGGGUAUUAGGUUUUUAGAAAGACAAAUUUCUUUAGCUUUGACCAAGUUUAAAGCAAAACAUCGACAUCCACAAUAUUAAACAAAAAAAAAGUAUGGAAAUUCAAUUUUUUUUGAUGAAUCUGAAAAUACUGAUUUGAUAUUAUGGAUUUUGAUAUAUUUCUUUACAAAUUUCAUCAAACUUAAAAGGUUUGACUUUUCAAAAACAAUAAUACAUCUUAUAUUUUGAAAAGUGUGAUUAUUUUUUUAACAAAACCAACAAACACGAAAGUAUAUUUUGGUAUAUUAAAUAUAUAUUUUUGCUUUGAAAAUAUAUAUUUGUUGUAGUCACCUUGUUUUGUAUGAGGAAUUCAUCAGCAAGGAGUGCCAAGAAAUAGUCAGUUGUACUAAAAGCUGAACUUUCAAUGCUUUUAAUAGAAAGAACAUUCGUACAUAUUAUUUAAGAAUGCCUAAAUUGAUCCUAUGCAUGUAGUAAGAACACCUGCGGUGUUAUAUUAUUAAGUAUGCAGAUGUAGAUUAUAGGAUAAUUGGACAACUAAGUAUUCGGGAUUACUCUGGAAAUACACAGUAUGAUCUUCAUAUCGUUAUACGAAGUGUGUAUAGCCCUUUUUACUAGUGAGUAAGGGUGCUCAGUCAGAUCAGAAUGCUUUAUGGUCGAACCCGGACUGCCAACAGGAGUUGAUGACUGAGAAAUCUUCGAUUAAACAAGGUAAUCAUGAGCACCCAUAAUCUUGUCGGUGUCAUGGAGGGAACUAGAGGAAGAGAUUCCGAUCAGUCGUGGCCUCAUCAACUUCAGCAAGGGAAUCACCGAGGAACUUGGACUAUGAUGCAUACUCAGCGACCGACAUGGUGCCCUGCAUGAGAAUGCAGUACUUCCUGUUAAGAUGAAUGGCGUGGGUGGCAUUGUUGUUGAGGAAGUACUGGUGGAGGCGAGUCCAUGCUGAUAAGACAAUGUCGUCGGAGGACAUUGCCAGGUCCAGAAGACUACCGCCGAUAGUUGUGUAGAUCCAACAGAAGAUCCCGGUGUCGGUACAUCGCAGCUUGGGAUCGUCGACGUAAAGUUUGAACGUCAUGUUAAUGUGGUCGAGUACAACGCCGUAACGCAGGUGGAGAGGAUGAACAGCAAGAAAUCAGACGUUUAUGAUAGUUGUUGGUGGGUGGGUCCAGUUUGAAAGGGAUGUAAGAGUGGAUGUUGGUAUUGUACACGGCAAUGGGGGCCUGAAGUUUGAAAAAUUAAUUGGGAGGGUACGAAGAGAGAGUUGAAGCAGUGGUGAUGAUGGGAACCAUGGCGCCGACAGAGAAACUAGGAGAGGUCUGCAAGGUUUGCGCCAAAAGGGAGGUGGCACUGGAAUUGGUCUGGGUGUUGCUCAAUGGCGAGCAGAUGGCUCUGAUUACAAAGGUGAAUUAUAUAAUGCUUGCAUCCAGGUUUACAAGUGUCGAUGUACAACACAUCAGAUAAUGAAUAGAGAGAGCCCUAACUAACUGCAACAUACGGAAAAAGGCACCCACAGGUGCACGAGAGAUCUUCGAUCCUAACCUCUAAGGACUAUGGUACAACACGAGCUUUGCUAUACCUGCGGGGGCUCGUGUGGGGAGGGGGUUACGUAAUGUUUUGCCAAUUUCUAAUUGUUCAUUGGUGGGGGCGUGGGGCCCAUCCUAAAAUUCAGGGGUGUGUUUGAUUAGUUCAGAAUGAAGUUACGUAGGAUGCAUUACGUAGUUCUAGCAUGUUUGGUAGUACGGGUACAACGGUACAUACAGAUGAUGCAUUGUUUAACAAUAUUAAAUUGAAAUCAUGUACUACAAGGGUUAGCAAAUGGCAAAGACUAACAAUUCUCAUGUCAAAGUGCAAACAUUCAAUCAUUGGUGCACAAUGAACAUAUGAUAUUGAAGUCAACAACAGUUAAAUUAAACAAUAUGGAUCGCACUCAAAAAAUAUUUAAGUGAUACAGAUCAGCAAAUUUGCUAGUUCUGGUUUUUUUUUUGUGAGGUGGAGAAAGAAUGCUAGCUAGCUAGCUAGCUAGUUCUGGGUAGUCCUCACGUUGGCUGCCUAUAAAUAGCAUCCUGCACCAUCAUAUGGGAAUGCACCAGUUAAGCAGCUAGCUAACUCAUCUCCAUCCAUCGCAUCUCUUCUUCCUCAAUCCUCCACUAGAACCACCCACCCAAUUCAUCAAUGGCUUCAUCUCUGAAGGUGGCCGCUGCCGUCGCCGUGGCCGUUUGCGUCGUGCUUGUGCUGAACAUGGGCCAGCCUGCGGCAGCCACAGAAUGCAAAGAUUGUCUCGCCGACUGUGUUGACGUUUGCGUCGACUACUCUGACACUGCGUGCAGUGGCAUCUGCACCGCCAAACCUCCUGCAUGCCAGUCAUGCAAGUACACGUCCUUCCUUACAUGCGGUGGCACAUGCUACGGCCCCUGUGCCCACUUCUGCUAAAGCCUAUAGUGGCUGUAAGCUGUCUGUGUGUGUUGGUACCUCGUUGUUGCUAAGCCAUGUAAAUAAGUGAACAAAUGCUAUUGCUCUGUGCAUAUGGCAAAUGUUCCUUCGUUUUAUUGUUCCCCUUUGUUUCAACCAUCAGUAAAUAUACAUGUAUGUGUGCAAGUCAUGUACUCCUAUAUAUGCUUUCUGCUUCUUUCUAUCAUGUUUCUGACCUGCUCAUGCUGGGGUGGAUAUCAGGUGAUACCACCUAUUACAUGCUCCCAUGCUAAAAAAAUUAAAAAGUCAUAGUUAGAUGUUUCAAAAAAAUUGAAAACAAUUAUGGAUGUUCACAAGACAUACGCCUAUAACCCCUAAAAAUUCAGAUCAAAAUUCGAAAUAUACAUUGAGAAACAAAAAGACAAAUCUAUAUGUCAUGUUUUGUCUUCUUUUACACUAUUCAUUCUAGAUUUUUCAUUUUUGUUUCUCAAUAGGUAUCUCAAAUUUGGGUCAGACUCUUUUAGGGGUCGUAGUCAUAUGUCUUGUGAACAUCUACAAAGUUUUUCAGAACAUCUAAAUGUGAUUGAUAGCUAGCAUAAAUAUCCAUCCAUGAUAGAUCCUUCUUCCUUCCACUCCGCCAUCAUGGAUUGGACUUGGCUUUGGCUUUGGGGCUGGUUCAUCUGAAGUGCUCCCAGACAUAGAGCUCUGACCUAUUUUCCUAAGAAAUUGGACCAAUGUUUUCAUACUGACGAAUUUAGGAAUAGUUCUGCUGCAUUUUGUUCAUUGAUAUAUACGGAUAGGGCAGUGUAUAAGUGGAGUACUUCGCUGAUGCCAGCAAGUUAGUAACCAUCACUUACACGCGUUAACAAAUUCUUCUGUAACAAGUAGUUUAAUAUCAUUCACAAAUUAAUGUCAAGUGGUAGUAGCUUCUUCUAAUAAUGUCAACUCCAUUCACCAAUCAUUCAGGAUCAUGACAAAUCAAAGAAGGUUCCACACCUUCAUAAAUUUGGCGCCACCUUUUACCGAUUAUAAAGAUCCAAAUUUCAGCGAUUGUGUUGUGGAUGCUCUUAAUCUUGUAUUGUUUCAUCCAUUGACACACCCAUUCCGUAAAUGAAACGAUUGAAACAACUUUUAAUAUUAGAGUUAGUGAUGACAAAUUCAUGAAAUUUAUUUUUUAGGGUGUUUUAAAAUAAAAAACAAUGUGUCCUUACCUGAGCAUUUUUAAGUGAUUUUGGGAAGUGAAAUCACACAAGAACACUGUGUGAGAGCCGAAAAUAAAAAAGAAAUGUAAAAGAGUUAGUACAUCGGGCCUGCGUGACCAUCUCCAUGGUACAGCUAGGCUACUGCUGGAGAACGUUUCCCACAGCGCUUACAAGCCCUAAUAUCUACUCCUCCAUCCAGAAUUACUUGUCGCAUAAAUAGAUGGAAAUGAAUGUAUCUAGAAUUAAAAUACAUCUACAGACAUGCAUUCUUCCGACAAAUAUUUUCGGACGGAGGGUGUAUCUUGGGCCAGUGACCAGCAACAUCAGAUAGCAUUAGUUAUCUUCUCUCCUUUCCAUAAAGGGAGGAAUGAUCGGGCCAAGGUCGCCUAAUUUUGCCAUGGCCUCUAGCCAACCACCCCAUCGGGCGUAGCCAAGCCAUGAACGCUUCUCUUCUCUCUUACCGGAGCCUGAUUUUUAGGCUAAGUAUCGUAACUAGUAUCAGACAUGCCGAUUAUGCAAUUUUAAUGAGGUGGCAUAGAAAUCUAUAAUACUAUGCAUUACGGAGGUAGUAUCAUACACUAGCAUAUGAUACUAAUAUAUGAUACUCCCCACUACAACCAGCCUAAGUAAUCAGGUGCUCCAAAGUGAAAAUGUGUGUCUAGUGUGCAUAAUAAAGUGCCUAGGUGGACAAUACAUGCAUGUCCAUCCUUGGGCAGCAUAGCAGCCAACCCUACCCUACCACAUGCUGGCAAUUGUUUAUUAUGUUGAUCUCAUGUCAGUGUGGCCAUGCGAGUGUUAAUUAAGUAUUACUAAUACUUGUCGUUCAAACGGAUGUAUUUAGAAACAAAGUGAGACCUUCAUCUCGUGAGAAAGACCGCCGAUGGCUACCGGCCAUCGCCCUCGCGCCAGGAAGAGUACGUUGCCGUGCAGUCCGCCGACGUGGAAGACAAGUUUAUCAAGUUUAUCAAUUCUACUUGCAUAUAGUACUCCCUCUGUUUUUAUUUAGUUCGCAUAUUAGCUUUGGUCAAAGUCAAACUUUACAAACUUUCAUCAAGUUUAUUAACAAAAAUAUUAUGAUAUACAAUAACAAAUCAACAAUAUUAGAUUUAUUAUUGGAUGUACUUUCACCUCGAAUAGAUUUAUUAUGAUAAAUGUCUAUAUUGUUUUCUAUAGACUUGGUCAAACUUUACGAAGUUUGAUUUUAGUCAACUCUAAUAUGCGGAGUAAAUAAAAAUGAAGGGAGUAUAUUGUCUAAUAAGUAAUAACCUUCGUAAGGAAUUGCGCGGAUCCAAGGACACCAUCUUAAUUAGCAUACUACUAAGAUUCGAAGAUAUAUGCUAUGCAUAUUAGAUUCGCCUCAAGUCAAACUUUAUAAAUUUUGAUCAACUUCGUCCAAAAAAUUGUGAACAUCCACAAUAUGAAAUCAACAUCACUAAAUGCCGGCCUAGAGAGACACGAGAGCUUCUACGUGGCAUGCCAUCAACCUUCAACCCGGGUAGUGCGAAGUCAACCGCUCGAGCUGAUUCCAUCCAUGCACGCAUCAGGCCGACCUCCAACCGGGAUAGAUGCCCUUAAGGCAUAUACAAUGGUACUAUCUUAGAAAUGUCAUGUAGGAUAAUUACUAGGAUAAAGGAAAGAAAAACAAAUAAAAAAAGUGUUCCAUUUCUCUUACUUAUGAGAUGAUCUGUUAGCCCCAUAUCUUUUACCAUUACUCCUUGCAUAUGAGAAUAUAUUUUUAUUGCGGAUAAAACUAAGAGAUACCCCAUUCUACCCGUGAUUUUAUUAUCAUCUCUAAACUACAUGGUAGGCUUCAAAGAUAAAAUUGUUUUUUCAACCAUUGUACAUGCCUUUAGUAGGUUUUUGGCUGGGGUACCAAGUAUAGUUUUUCAAGAAAAGUCUCCUUCCUCCUUCCGCCAGCGCUGCUGCCGAUCCGCCCCACCUCCAAUGGCCCUUGGGCCGUGGAGGUGCGGAGGACCUCGGCGGGAGGGACCCCGUUCUCUUUUUCGUUAGGUUCAAUGUCUUGAUUGGAACUGUGUGGCGGUGGCGAUGUCCCUCUGUACAAAUAAUGUCACCCACGUCAUAUCCCUGUCCCAAUGGUGCGGAUAGCAUCGUCGGAGGAUGUGUGGAGGUGUGUCUUCAUCAGAUCUCGUGGAAUUCGGUCGGUGCUAGUCUUCGGUGGAUCUAGUUGGAUCCAGUUUUUGGUUAUCUUCGUUCAUGUGGUUUCAGGUUUGAUCUUUCUGAUCUGCAAGUCUCUUCAUCGGUGAUGGUUGCUGCUCUAGUGCACGGUUCUUUUGGGGCCUUGGCACGAUGACUUCCUGGUUGUCUACUAUAACAAGGUUUGUCCGGCCCUGGUGAGGCAGGGGCGAUGAUGGCGGCAAGCCUUCGGCUCGUUCCAAUGCUUGUAGUCGUUGGUAGGUGGUUCAUAGGCCUGGUUGUAAUUUUAUUACAUUUUGUGUUCUCUGUAUUGCCAUGAUUGAUGAAUGGAUUGGAAAUUUCUCUCGAGACAAAAAUUAGGUUUUUGGCUAAUAGUGAUAAAUUAUGUGGCAUGCACAUGCGGCGGUACCAUAAUCAAGGUGCCUUCACGUGCUACGUGGAUGGACAUGCAUAGCCCUACCACGUGCUAUUGUUUAAGUUGAGCUCAUGUCAACAAACACACCGCAAAUUAAUCUAGUUGGUCAAACCAAAUCAAUAGAUCGAAGAAGAAAUACAGAGCUAUAACAAUCAUGCAUAAAAGAGUUCGGAGAAAACUCAAAUAAUAUUCAUGAAUAGAUCUGAUCAUAAACUCACAAUUUAUCGGAUCCCAACAAACACACCGCAAAAAAGAAUUACAUCGGAUAGAACUCCAAGAACAUCAAGGAGAACAUUGCAUUGAAGAGCAUCAAGAGAGAAGAAGAUAUCUAGCUACUAACUAUGGACCCGUAGGUCUGUGGUAAACUACUCACGCAUCAUCGGAAGGGCAGCAAGGUUGAUGUAGAUCCCCUCCAUGAUUGAUUCCCCCUGCGGCGGAGUGCCAGAAAAGGUCCCCGGAUGGGAUCUAUCGAGAACAGAGGCUUGCGGCAAUGAAAAAGGUAUUGUGUGGACUCCUUUGUUGGUUUCCCGAUUUUCAAGAAUUUAUAGAAGCAGAGUUAGGUAAAACAAAGCUACGUGGGUCCCACAAGCUACAGGGCGCGCCCUGGUGCCUUGUGGGCUACUGCUCCAUCUUCUCAUCCCCUCCUAAAGCUUCCAGGGUCUCUUGCCAGAAAAAAAAUCUCCAAAAAAAUUUUGUGGCAUUUAGACUUCGUUUGGUACCAAAAAAUAGCAAUUAACACUAGGCACUAAGUUAAUAGGUUAAUCCAAAAAAAUGAUAUAUAGUUGCGUGUAAGUAUAUAUAAAAUAUCCAAGAUUAAUAUUAUAAUACCAUGUAACAAUAAAAAAUUAUAGAUACGUUGAAUACAUAUCAACAGAAAAGGGUUGCGGGAAGGAUAAUGCCGGGAACAUAUUGUGGAAAAGUUUUGCGGGAAAUUGCGGGUGCCGGAAUAAAAUUACGGUCCAAAAUAUGGUUCCAUUCAACCAUUGGCUGAAAAUUUUGGUCUCAUGCAGCUGUCGUCUUAGCCUAAGCCGAUUUGAACUAAUCGGCUUCAGCCUUCUCUAUUAGUACUAAUUGGCUACGGUUAAGAUGCUUAGUUCCAAUCGGCUUAGUCUAAGAUGACUAGAGCUAGUCGGCUUAGGUUAAGCCAACUGGACACUAACCAGCUACGUCGUGGCAGAUUGGAUCUAGUCGGCUUAACCUAAGCCGAUGCUGGAUUAUUUUUAUAAUAUACAAACCGUGUAUUACUUUCCAAAUUGAUUACAAAUAUAUCAUUUUAAAAAAUUAGCCUCAUUCUACCCUCAUGUUUAGGAUUUCGUUCAUUCCAGAUUGUCUUGAUAUUUUUCUUCGGUUCACACCGUCGUAUUAAAUGACAAAAACGGUCCCAAUAAUUUGGUCAUAAACAUGGGGGCGGAAUGUGUUUCCAUCUUGAAGAUGUAUGUCCUUAAGGCGUAUACAAUAGUACUAUCUCAAAAGUGACACAUAGGAUAAUAACUAGGGUGAAGGAAAGANNNNNNNNNNNNNNNNNNNNNNNNNNNNNNNNNNNNNNNNNNNNNNNNNNNNNNNNNNNNNNNNNNNNNNNNNNNNNNNNNNNNNNNNNNNNNNNNNNNNNNNNNNNNNNNNNNNNNNNNNNNNNNNNNNNNNNNNNNNNNNNNNNNNNNNNNNNNNNNNNNNNNNNNNNNNNNNNNNNNNNNNNNNNNNNNNNNNNNNNNNNNNNNNNNNNNNNNNNNNNNNNNNNNNNNNNNNNNNNNNNNNNNNNNNNNNNNNNNNNNNNNNNNNNNNNNNNNNNNNNNNNNNNNNNNNNNNNNNNNNNGCUCGCCUACUAGCGGGGAUCCAUCCGACGGCGCUGCAAGAUCCGGUGUGGUGGGCCUCUUCGCCGGCGUCGGGGGGUGGAUCCGGGGCUGCUCAGGCCGGAUCCGGCGCGUGGUGGUGCGGUGCUGAUGGCGGCGGGAUCGAGCGCGCGAGGUCCUGCUGGUCCGAUGUCUCGUGGCGGCUCGUCAUGGCUCUGUGGUGGGCGCUGGCUGGAGGAGGAGAUGCCCGACGCAGCUGGCUGGUGAUGGCGUGUCGCUGUGAAGCGCGCAGGCCGGUGGCGGCUUGGUGCUCCUCGCCGCGGAGGCGCUCGAGCCAGGCCAGAUCUGCGCUGGCUGGAGGUGAGGGCUCAUGGCCGGCGCACGACAGGUGAGGUGGUGAUGCGGAGGGCCUGACGGGGUGUGGCAGAGGAGAUGUGGCUCGAUUUGGUGGGGGCGGCGCCAGCGGGAGGCAGUGCUGGGUUCUCACGGGCAGGUUGGUGGCGCGCUGUGAUGGCUCCGUCAAGAUGGAGCCUUGCGAGCAGCGAGCGGUCGGUCAUCCCUGUGCGGCGUGGCGAGCGGCGGUGCUUUCCUGGUGAUGCCGGCCUGGGAUUUCUCCGUGGAGAGGCGGGUCUGAUUGUCGCAAGGCCGUUCCUUGGAGUGGGUGACGGCCGUCGCGGGCAGUCCUGGACCUGGCCGGAGGUGUUGGUUGGCUGCGGACCCUCGUGCAGGCUGGGAGUGGAUGGUGUGGCCGUGGUUUCCCUGCCGGGUAGUCGGUCGUUGGUCCUCGGCUAUGCAGCUACUUCGGCAAGUGCUGCGGUGGCGGCGGUGUGAGGCUUCUUGGCAGUGCUACCAAUCCCAUGGAGGCGUGGCGAUGUGCGAAGCGCGGAUGAAAAUUUUGCACGGCUUCUGCCGGGCCGGCGGUGAUGGCACCUGUGGAUGUCAUUCCCCUCCUUGGAGGCAUCGUCGAGUUUGUUCGCCCCAUCCCUCGCGCUCUCGGUGUUGGUGGAUGUCUCCGGGUGAAAGCCUAGAUUCGAUGUUCGGAUCGACACGAUGGCGGUGUCCUCGACGCCGCUCCUCUGUUGGGAGCAUUGUGUUUGGAGACAUGACUGGUUCCUCGUUGCUCUCCUCCGGUGUUCGCCGCUAUCCUUUUCUGAUCUUCAGUGGCGCUAUGUACGUUGGUCGACGGUGAAUCCAAGGCGGUGUCUUCCCGGAUUGGAUCGAGUCCUGCCAUUCAUCUGCCACUUUCUCUUAGGCGCUCAGGGUGGAUGGUGCGUCGACAAGAGAAGUUCUGCGGAAGUGUGGUCUUCGGAGGUGUCCGGCGUCGGUCAGAGACGCGGUGCUGUGUAUCAGUUUAGGAUAGGCUUUUUGCUUUGUAGCUUGCCUAGCGGUGGUGUUUGUUUGUGGUCUUGUCGGUGUGGUGUUCGUGCUACACUCGUUGUUCGCAUCGCUUUCUUGUAACUAAAUCCUGCCUUCUAUAAAGCUAUGGUACGCCUAGGCGUACUCUCAAAAAAAAAGAAAGAGAAACAAAUAAAAAAAUGUUCCAUUUCUCUUAAUUAAAAGAUGGUCUCUCAGCACGAUUUUUGUUACCAUAUACUCCUUGUAUUUAAGAAUGUUUUUUUAUUAAAGACAAAACUAGAUGAUAAUCCAUUAUAUCCACGUGAUUUUAAGUUGGUUUUUGCCUAAUAGUGCAUGGCAUGCACAUGCGGACCAUCAUGAAGCCAUGAAGGUGCCCCCUCUGGAUGAACAUGCAUGUCCUUGGGCUGGGCAGCAGCGUGCUACUGAUACUUGUUUAAGCUGAGCGUCAUCUGAGUGUGGCCAUCAGGCAACAAGAGAGAAGACCACCGAGAUCUGCCGAUGCCCGCCGUCGCGCCCGCGCCGGAGGACCAUGUGGCCGCGGACGCCACCAAGCUCGUCGCCCUCCACUUGGAAGACGAUGAGCGGCAAGGGGGCUGCUGCUGCUGCUGCGGUGCUGCGUCUUCGUCCCUGGCGAGGCGAGCCACGUCCUGGUGCCGCCGGAGCCUCGUCUCGCGCCCCGUCGUCCGCUGCGGACCGACCGAGCCGGCCGCCAAGCGUGUGCUCGUGGCCGUGGCCGCCGGCACGGAGCCGCUCGUGGCGGCCGCCGCGGCCGACAUCCUCAACCGCGCCGGCGCAAGGGUCACCGUCGCCACCGUAUCCGAGGGCCUUGUCGUGGAGGCCGGCCAUGGGGUCAGGUUCGCCGCGGACGGCAGAGUCGCCGGCCUGGAAGCAGAGGAGUUCGACCUCAUCGUCCUACCGGUACGUCCGCCUUCUCCAUGCCCAGUCAAACCAGUGUGUCAUCCUCAUCAUCAUCCUCAGUUCAUCACCACCUUUGUACGUGUUGCUGGUGGUAGGGAGGAAUGACGGGAUCAGCCAACCUUAGGGACUGCAAGCAGCUGGAGAAGAUGGUGAGGAAGCACGCGCAGUCGGGGCGCCUGUGCGGCGCCAUCGGGGCGGCGCCGGCGCCGGCGCUUGCCCGAUGGGGCGUGCUCGGAGGCUUCACGGCGACCUGCCAUCCGGACCUGCUGGGGCGGAUGGGCGACGAAGACGGGGUGAUCGCCGUGGAUGACAGGGUGGUGAAGGACAGGAACGUGGUGACCAGCCAGGGCGUCGGGACGGCCAUCGAGUUCGCGCUCGAACUGGUGGAGCAGCUCUACGGCCAACUCACGGCGGAGGAGGUCGCCGGACCUUUGGUAGGUACUACGAUCUAGCUUGUGUACAACUACUAGUAGUUGUUAGCUUAAAAGAAAAAGAAAUUACUAGUAGUUCUUCAGUUCAAUCUUUUUACUCCUUUAGUUUCAUCCGUUUGAGCGACAAGUAAUAAGGAUAGGAGUGAGUACAUAUUAUUAUCAAUAUUAAUUUGUGCAAUUUUCUUACAUAUUCAAUUACUAGCAUAUGCGCCCCCAACAAGGAGUCAAGUAUGUCAUCCAAAAGUACAACCAGAUCCAAUGGAAAUGCACUGGCACGGGUUCUUGUGCCUGUUGCCGACGGCUCGGUGGAGAUGGAGGCUCUCAACCUGAUCGAUGUCCUGCGGAGGGCAAGCGCACGCGUCACGGUCGCUUCGGUCGAGGACACGCCGCGCAUCAUGACCCGCCAUUACAAGCUCAAUCUGAUCGCCGAUGUGAUGCUGGAACAGGCUGCUAAAAUGGAGUUCGACCUCAUCGUCAUGCCGGUAAGUUCGAAUUGAGUCGAACAUUCCUUUAUUUUCUUAGAAAAUGAAGGCAAACACAGGGCCUCUGGUCGUAAAUGGUGCUCUUGGGACUACUUGAGUGACCUUGUUGUUUGUUUGUUGCAUGUGUAUAUAUAUGUACCAUAGGGUGGUCUUCCUGGUGCUCUCAAGUUCACCAGCACGGAUAAACUUGUGGGCAUGCUGAAGAAACAGGCGGAAUCUGGUAGACCCUAUGGUGCAAUAUGCGCUUCCCCUGCUUACGUCCUCGAGCCCCACGGAUUACUCAAGGUAUUUAGCCUUUUUUAUGCAAGUUUGAUGCUUCUGGCUUAUGUUUUCCGUCUUUCAUUUCUUUUUACAAAAGAUAAAGCAAUAUGGUGAUAGGCAACUUCUUCACCAUUGUAGGGUAAGAAAGUGACAUCAUUUCCACCCAUGGCGCACCUGCUUACAGACCAGAGCGCAUGCGAAUACAGGGUCGUCGUCGACGGUAACCUUAUCACAAGCAGAGCACCAGGGACCGCCACAGAGUUUGCCCUGGCAAUUGUUGAGAAGCUAUUUGAUGAGGAGAAAGCGAUCGCGUUAGCCAAGGAGUUGGUUUUUAUGUGACAACGUGCAUCGUUGUGGCUCACACACUGUAGAGGGCGUGGUCAUGUUUUGUGAACCUUCCAUGAGCUUCAUACGAAGAAAUUCGACAAAUCUAUCUGUAAAUUAGAUUUCGAGAAGUCAUAAGACAAAGUGAGGUUGGCCUAGUACUACCAAGUGUUGAUAUCCAGAACCUCGAGCUGGGACUUAGCCGUUUGCCGCCAACUUGUUUUUAGAGGAUGUUCUGACUGUACCUCCAAGGGGGAGCUGUCCGGUACUACCGAGCAACAUAUGUUGUAUGAGGCGGUGCAGAGCAAGUUGUUGUCGAAGCAUUCUUCUCUCGGUAGCACCUAGGUAUUUCCAUUUAUCCUAGUGGUGUUUUUGGACAUGGUGCGACCACAAGGUGCCAUGCCCACUUCGGUGAAAGAGAGCUUUCCCCUUUGGCCGUUCAAACCUUCAAACUAGUCCGGUAAUACCAAGUGUGAAGUUUGGAACUAUCAAUCAUGUUAGUUCCUAAGCCUAAUGGUCAGAUUUCUAUAAGUAGGAACCCCUUACCCCCGCGGGUGGUGAAGUUUUUGAACGCUCAUAAGCCAAUGUUGUCAUGUUGUGUUCUACCUUCUCCUUUGCCUAACCGUUUUUGCUCAUUAGCUUCAUCAUCACAAAAAAAUAGAGAAAGCAGCGAGCAACAUUAUAGCUGAAGGGCAUUUAUUUUCUCAAUCUGCAAGGAGCAUUAAAGCAAAAUGAAUCACUUCUUGCUUUUUGCAAAUUCCAGGUGAUCCUUGAUGUAGCAAAAUAAAAGGAAAUGUUUCCCCCAAGAUAACCAGACUUCCCCACUUGGUUCUUCAUACUCGAGGUAACCUUGUUGGUUGCAGGUAGAUAUUCAAAUUAAAGCAACAUCCAGAGGAAGAGUGACCAUCAACGGUGGCUGAGAAGAGUGUUGCCAACGGUGGUGGACCGUCGACGAGGCCAAGGUGAGCUGGUAGGCGGAUGUCAGCCGGGAGAAUACGGGACGGUGGUCGAUGGAGAACCUCCAAUGACGGCACACUUUUUGAGCAAAAUGCUGUCAUUUUUUUUAAAAUUAGGGAACAAAAUGUUGUCAUCUGCUUUAUAAGCAGGCUAAGAAAAUGUUGCCGCUCUAUCUUUUUAACUGAAACCGCCCAUUAAGAGGGUAUCGGCGAGCCGUCGGCUCCGUGCUUAAGCUUCUUAUUCAGCUUAUAAGAUAGUCAGUGAGAAUUUUUACCUUUUACGGGAACAAAUAACUUAACAUAUUUUUUAGGGUAUAUAAGGGAAUUGCUUGUUUUUUUUAUUAGAAUCUGUUAGACAGCCUUUUUAGUAGAAUCCAAUUAGCAUCAUCAUUGCAAAGGAAAACGGACAUUGGUGGGCCGGGCCUUACAAACGGGCCGGGUCAGCAAAGAUGGGCCUCAAACCUUCCAGAGCCACCUGGUCUACUUCCUCCACGGUAGCAAUCGUCAUCGUCAUAUAGGUUUCUCUCAAGCUCUGAACCCCGCCGCCUCCGGAAGCUUCUAGAACCUUCUCCCCCUCUCCCCCCGCCUCCGCCUCCGGCUCCCAUGGCCGACGCCGCCGACGCCCUCUCAGGUACGCGCGCCUACCCCUCCAGCUCCUCUCCGCUCCUUCGUAAGCAAAGAGAUCUCCCCCCAAUCUCAAUCUGGUCCGUCCGCCGCUGCAGCUCGGAGCAAGGUGCAGUCUUUCCUGGAGGCCGCGUGCUCCGGCGACCUCGAGGCCCUCCGGAGUACGUCCCCCGCUCCCGCCCCGCUCACCCCGUCGCCGCCCGGCACGGCUUGCUCACCUGCUAAGCUUUUGUUGGUUUUGUUGUUGGCGCAGAGUUCGGGUCCGCGCUCGACGAGGAGGGGAAGGGCGCGGCCGCGGUGGCCGCCGGCGUGCGGGACGCCAACAAGCGCACCGCGCUGCACUUCGCCGCCCGGGAGGGCCAGACCGAGGUCUGCAAGUUCCUCGUCGAGCAGCUCCGCCUCCCCGUCGACCCCAAGGACGACGACGGUAAUGCUUCCCUGACUCACUAUCCCCAUGCUAUAUGAUGCGGCCAUGCUCACUUUCUCCUUGUAUUGCUCUGAUUCACAAUGUGUGUGUGCAAUUCAAUAGAUGCUUGGUAUGGUUGUGGUGAUGCAUAUUAUAUAUCUGGAUCAAUUUUCCAGGUGAGACUCCGCUCAUCCAUGCCGCCCGGCAGGGCCGCCAGGAGACGGUGGAGUACCUGCUCGGCCGCGGGGCCGAUCCUUCCGUCGCGUCCAACAUGGGAGCCACGGCGCUGCAUCAUGCUGCAGGCAUAGGUAAUGAUGAUGAUGCUGCCCCUCCCUAAUGGUGGUGCUCUGUGUGUGUGCUGUCGAUUACCGACUCCUGAUGCUGAUCGAUAAUUCUGUAUGUUGAUGAAGUGGAGACAAUAUCUGAACGAACGUGUGGCGUUUAUUUUAUUCUUCUUGUUACAGGACACAUAGAGAUUAUGAAGAUUUUGCUUGGUAAGGGAGUCGAUGUUGAAUCCGAAAGCGAGUCCGGCACUCCCCUUGUUUGGGCUGCUGGUCAUGGACAGCAAGACGCGGUCAAGCUUCUGCUUGAACACAAUGCUAAGGUACUUGCUCGUCUAUGCGUUCUCUCCGCCAGUUUGUUAAUCUGAGUUUUCAGUUAUUCAUUCAGUGCCAAGGUUCAGUGCAAUACUCCUGACUAUGCGGUGAUUUUAGUUAUUACUAGUAAUUAACUUGAGCAGAAACUAAAUUUAUAACUGUGAGCAGCAAAAACCUGCUGCAUGAAUUAAUUUGCUGAGGUGUUGUGUAUGAACUCAAUUUAGUUAGGUGGGCUUUCAGCAACUUUUGUACUCAAACUAGUUCUUACAAACCUUGCUUUUGCAGCCCGACACUGAAACUGCUGAUGGUAUCACUUCGCUCUUGUCUGCUGUUGCUGCUGGUUCCCUCCCAUGCUUGGAGGUUCUAAUCCAGGUACAUGAUUGGGCGAGUAAAGGAUUUGUUUGAUUUCGUUCAUUUUCGUCACAUAGAUGUCAUUGCUUAUUUUUGGUUACUGGAUGCUCUGUUUUCCCUGUUAGACAAUGUGGUUUGUGCCUUGGGAAUUUGGCAAACAUGCACAUGAAUUGGGAAUAAGUAUAACAGUAUUCCUUUAUUACUGCAUCGCGAAUGUGCAUACAAGCGUACAAAGUCGAAGGAAAAGAUUCAAAUGUUUAUUCUCGUUUUAUUUUUGCCAUUUUACUUCUGUUUCUGCAUUCAUAUAAUACGCAACAUUGUUUUAUACAUUUGUUUAAUAAUUAGCUUAAUAAUGUGCAACAUAGGCAGGUGCAAACCCAAAUGUCACUGCUGGUGGAGCAACCCCAUUGCAUGUUGCUGCAGACAGUGGAAAUCUCGAAAUGAUCAAAUGUUUGCUUCAAGCUGGAGGCGACCCAAAUACCUCUGACGAUGUAAGUCACCAUGUCUGAGUACUUCAUUUAACUUGCCAAGUGUGGUGAUGCUAUAAUUUAUUUUAUUCAUAUAGUACCCAUCGUGUGUAAUCAUGGUGACUCUGCAUUCAUUUUAGCUAGACGUUCCAAUUGCCUUUGACUGUCUUAUUUAUGCAAACCGAAAGUGUGGAAAAUAAUAAUAUUCCAUUUCUAAACUUAUUCUUCCUGGGUAGUAAUAAUUAUUUAAAGCAACAUUGCCUAAACCAGUGAAUCUAACUGUUGAUGAUUACCUUUUCCUUCUUUCUUUCCUGCAGGAUGGAUUUAAGCCAAUAGAGGUUGCUGCUUUAAGGGAUAACCUUGAAGUCGUUGAACAUCUUUUACCAUUGACUUCUCCAAUCCCAGGUGUCUCGAAUUGGACUGUUGAUGGAAUAGUAAAAUACGCAUCAUCUAAAAUGGAAGAGGAAAAGGUGCCACUUUUGAAUUUUUUAUAUCCUCGUAUGUUCAUGAAACCUCUUUACUUUGCAAAUUCUGUCAACUUUUACAUCUGCAUACAUUCUACAGGCGCAAGAAAAUGAGUCAGCCAGUUUACAGAGACGACAACCCGUUGAGGUGCGCCGUUAUCGUAUAUGUUUUUUUAUAAAAAUCAAGGAAUCUAGUAUCUGUUAUAAUAAUAGUCGACUUGAAAAUUCAACUGUUGAUUUUCACUGCACAAGUUUUACAUCACCUAAAAAAAUGCCAUGCAGGUGUCACCUGAGGCGAAAAAGAGAUCAUUGGAAGCCAAAUCGAGAGGUGAUGACGCAUUCAGAAGAAAAGACUUCCUAGUAGCAGUGGAUGCAUAUACACAGGUAAGAAUCGUUUUUCUUCUUCCUGGAAGCAGUUGUGUGGGACAAAAAGAACUCUAGAAGACUAGAAAUUUAGUUGUAAUUUCACAUGCCAUCUGGGUAUAGAUGCAAUCCUGAGCCAGCCAACCUUCAUUUUAUCAAGUGUCAGUAAGUUUACUGGAUUAUAGUGCAUUGAGAGAAUCAUCACAACAGAACGGAACUCUGCAUUUCAGGCCAUUGAAUUCGACCCGAAUGACCCUGCAUUGCUUUCGAACAGAAGCCUUUGUUGGCUGCGGGCAGGGCAAGGUGAGCGUGCCCUGGAGGACGCGAGAGCAUGCCGAGCACUGAAGCCAGACUGGGCGAAAGCUUGCUUCAGGGAAGGCGCAGCGCUGCGCCUUCUGCAGGUUUGUCACUUUCAGAGACGCGCAGCAACCGGACAUUUAUUCCUUGCUGCCCCUGUUUCUUUUUCUCUUUGUAUGACUACAUAUGCAUACCUGAUGACUCAAGACUACACUUGUUGUGCUGUGGCUGCACCGACAGAGGUUCGAGGAAGCUGCGAACGCGUUCUACGAGGGGGUGCAGCUCGAGCCGGAGAACAAAGAGCUCGUGAAGGCAUUCAGGUAGUAAAAAUAUGAGAGGAAAAAACUCGUACCAGUCGAAAAUGAGGGAGGAACUUCUAUGCUCUGCUUUUGUUUUACUGAUUCGUGUUUUGCCGGUCGCGACGACAGGGAGGCUGUUGAGGACGGGAGGAAGUUCCACGGGACGAACAAGCCAACAACAAACGGAACAAAGUCAGAAUGAGGAUGGCAGCGACGAACCGAACAAAGCCAUGCUAGUAUCAAAAGCUUGUAUGAGUAUCUCCGUGGGAUCGCAUCGGGGAUCCGUUUUACUCUGUCAAGGUGAUAGGGAGGAUGAGUGUAAGCGGAGAUGUUUGCGAAUUCGAUUAGAAACCUCGUUGGGUUGUGUGACUCGGUUAGCAUUCUAUGGUAUGAGUACUGUCUUAGUGUAGGACAUACAAAUGGCCUGUGAACUUGUGGUGGAUUAUCCUUCGACAUUGCCAGCAUACAUUUUCUUUAAUUGUUUCUUUUGCUGCUUCUUCCAACUUUCAUCUACUCAACACUAAAAACAUGUGGUAGAAUUUGUUACUCCAUCCGUUCUGAAAUUUUGGUGAUGUUCUCCGAUGACGUGCAAUAUUGAUAUGGCAGUAAAUAGGAAAGAAAUAUAUGACUAUUGUAGUCAUGAUGAACGAUUUUACAUCAUAUAGAAAUCUAAUGAUGUUAUUUUUGUCUGACCAGCUCUCAUUAUACAUUUUAUUCAGGACUAUCCAGCGACCGUUCGCUGGCCAGGAUGGCAUUUACGAACAUGCGGCUGUCGGUUUUAAUAUUUGGGGAUCACAUUUUUGACAGAAAGCAUGCCAUUUUGCUUAUUUUAGUGCAUUUUCAUUGAAAAACUUUAUUUAUUUUAGUGCAUUUUCAUCGGAAAGCUUUCACCGUCAGAUCUCGAUCCUGUGGCUAUGAGUGGGUUUGCUGGGGAUUUCCUCCUUGGGGAACGGCUGCUAUAUAUCAUUCCCGUUUAUUUAUUUGACCGAGUAAUUGUCAUUUUUAAGAGAAAAUGGUAAUUUGCAUAUUUUAAAAAUGUUGUACUCCCUUUAAUUCGAAUUUUGACGGCGUCUCCAUGCACUGUUGAGUACGAUUUUACUUACAGAAAUGUGCAACCGAGUUUUUUUUUUUUGCGGUGGGUGAAACUGAGCAUCUGACCCAAACUUGUACAUACUUUUUUGUGCAACUUUUCUCGAUGUGUAUCACUUUUUAAGAAACACCUAUUUUCCGUGUGGACGCAAUCGCAGGCACACCAUAAGUAUAAGAUAGUAGAUGCAUAGCUAUGUCAAAGAGAUUGCACAAACUUAGCUGCCACCCAUCCCAUCAUCCCGGUUGAUUUUGUCGGCGCCUUCAGUGGUCGGUUUCGACGCCAAGGGAAUCUUCGCGCUCGUGGUGAGUUAUGGUUUAGUUUAUGAGAUUUGGGGGUCCUCUUGUCAUUCAUCUGGGCCGAUGCAGGCGGCAACGCAAAUGGGAUUAGUACCUCCAACCCCAUCCUCUUGGCGGUGAUGGUAGCUUUGGUGGCGUCCUGGCAGGAGCACAUGGUUGGUUUGUUCAAAUNNNNNNNNNNNNNNNNNNNNNNNNNNNNNNNNNNNNNNNNNNNNNNNNNNNNNNNNNNNNNNNNNNNNNNNNNNNNNNNNNNNNNNNNNNNNNNNNNNNNNNNNNNNNNNNNNNNNNNNNNNNNNNNNNNNNNNNNNNNNNNNNNNNNNNNNNNNNNNNNNNNNNNNNNNNNNNNNNNNNNNNNNNNNNNNNNNNNNNNNNNNNNNNNNNNNNNNNNNNNNNNNNNNNNNNNNNNNNNNNNNNNNNNNNNNNNNNNNNNNNNNNNNNNNNNNNNNNNNNNNNNNNNNNNNNNNNNNNNNNNNNNNNNNNNNNNNNNNNNNNNNNNNNNNNNNNNNNNNNNNNNNNNNNNNNNNNNNNNNACCUUGGUCUCAUCAAUAAGAUCCCGUGUCAGUGCGUUUGGGGGCGAUGUGCGGUCAGGUCUCCUCAUCCGGCCUUCACCUUCUUCUCCAAGUUGACAGCGUGGUUCCCAUCUUCUAGCAGAUCUCCGUGACUCCACAGCCGCAAACUCCGCCGAAGUGGACAAGCAUGGAGCUAGGGGGAGGGCGAGCCAUCGGAUUUGGACCUGCUUGUAAUUUCCACUUCCUCGGGGUUGUUCUUGUAAUUUUAUUUUUUAUUUCUAUCAUGAGUAUAUUAUUUCUGGUCAUUAUACUAUACUAAAAAGAAAAAUUCUUUCCCACGCAAAAAAAAUAAAUAAAUUCUUUUUUUUAAGCUUAUAGACGAGGUUUUCUUGGUCGGUAGGAUUCAGCCCGGGUCUGUCUGCUGCUCCUCCUCCCUGUCCGUCCGUCCGCUCGCCCCGAAGCGUCUCGCCGCCGCCGGCCCCCUCCACCGGAGCACCUCCUCGCCGGCGAGCAGCCAUCCUCCUCCUCCUCCUCUUCCUCCCGGUAAGAAAGCUCCAGCUUUCCUUGGAUCGCGCCUCGUUCUCUCGCUCACGUACGACCUUCCGCCGCGAGGAACCGAGCCGGACCGAAUCCGGUCCGGCCGGCCAGCCCGGAUCUCCCCCGUCCGAGAUCGGCCUCGCCCCCCGCCGGCAGCACGCGUAGGAACUAGGCAGGGCCGCCACGGCGCUCCAUCGGGCGCCCAUGUGUUCCGCUUCCGCCACGGAAGUCUAGGGAUUUGGGGAUCGAUUAGGGGACCAAAUUGGGGGGUGGAUUACUGGAUCCUCAUGGAUGAUGCAGAUAAAUCGGUGACGCGUUAGUGCCUCGAGGUCUAAGCUGCAUGAAAGAGGCCGGGUAGAUUAUUGCCCAGAUUGGGCUGCAGGCGCUGUUCCUAAUUGCUCAAUCAUGCUACAUACAUACAUACAUACAUUGUGCGCUUCUUUGCCGGAUUGUCGAUACGCAACGGCCUCGUUUUCGGCUCUGCUCUGGCCAAUGUUUCGGCCUCCGUCUGGCUAUUUACAAGCUUGCACUUGUCAUCAAUUUAUUUAUGCACUUUACUCUUUUUAUUUUAUACACAUGCAAGCGAGAUGGCUUAAAUUUGCUAUGUUCAGAUGUGUUCUUGUCUGUUUCUAAUACAUAAGCAGAGUUCAGAUUGUCCAUCCGACUGUAUUAGAUAUGACUUGAUGUUUGCUUACCUGUAAUAAACUCUGUAGAGGUGCAAGGAAAAAUAGUCUCUUCACCUUUAUACAAUGAAUGUCAUCGAGCUGCCAUUAAAUUCCUGUGUGUGGGGUACCUUUAACGGUAUACAUUGCUGUGGAAACUCAUCCAGAUCUUUCUUCACCUCCAAUCCAUUUAUCCAUUUAGUUUGUCACCGAGGGUUCUGUUUUCUGCCUUUCCCUUCCAUGGUGUACUAUAACUAAUUACUAAGAGAAGUCAGUUUCUUUUCCGAUUUUAAAUCCAUGCCACCCCUGAAUCAGUAUGGGCUAGUAUUUGCUUCUGUAAUAGCAGCCAGUAGAACAGCUCUUUCUUUAAUGUUUUAGAACAUCCAGUUUCUAUUUCUUACUUUGUACAUGUUCGCUUAUGUCUUUAUGAUAUACAAGGUUGAAAAAUAAAAUGGUGAUCCUGCUAAUAGAUCCCUCACCUUUUAACUGAAAAGUACUCUGCAACUGUGGAUGCCCUCAUGGUGUCAAUGUAGAAUUCAGUUUAGAGCCCAGAUAUUCGUUCUGUUAUGUUAUUUAACAUGCUUUCAUGAGGCCUUCAAUUCCCGAACUGGUUGUGCGAUUAUGUUGUUAAGUGGAAUUACAGGCUAGUCCGUUUACGAAGAUAUGCUAGUCCGGGAAUUAAUCAGAUGCACCUCAACAUUUUGUGAUCCUGCUGGCUAGGUAGGUUGAACCCUUACCCAAAAUUACCAGAGGGGGUGGCCAAGAAAAUUUCUUUUGAAACUUGCCCGCAUAUUUCUUCACCUCCAAUCCACUCAUCCAUCCAGUUUGUUACUGAUGGAACUGUUUGCCGCCUUUCCCUUCCAUGGUGGAGUACUAAGUACUAAAAGCAGUGAGUCAGUAUGUUUUCCAAUUAAGAAUCCAUGGGCUAGUAUUUGCUUUCUGUUAGAGCAGCCAGGAGAACUGCUGUUUCUUGAAUGUUGCAAAACAUCAGGGUUUUUUUUUCUUGCCUUCUACAUAUUCUUUUAUAUGUUUAGGAUAUAAAAGAUUGACAAAUGAAAUGGUGACCAUGCUAAUAGAUCCUUGACCUUUUAAUUGGAAAGUAUUCUACAACUGUGGAUGCCCUGCCCUCAUGUUGUUAAUGUAGAAUUCAGUGUAGAGCCCAGAUAUUCAUUCUGUUAAUUAACCGGCAUCCAUGAGGCCUUCAGUUUUUGAACUGGAAAGCUUGUGUGUUCAAGACUUGUGCGAUUAUGUUGUCAAUGCACGCCAUUCAUUCAGUACAGGGCCCAGCAAUUCAUUAUGUUUAACACGCUUGAGACCUUUGUUUGCUUGAAUUAACCUCCUUAUAAAUCUUGCUGUUAAUCCCUGACUUUUGAUUGUGAUGCUGUUUCAGGAUUCUUGUUUGCCAUGGGUGACUACACAAUCCGGAUAAGCACCAGCUUGAUCGAGCAGCUCGCGCGAGAUGACGAUAAGCAGGUGAAGAGGAGGACCAGGAAACCCAAGCCGAGGAAGGUCGUGGAGCAACCAGAGGAGCCUCAGGACAAUGGCAGGGAACUUCCAACUGAACCCAAGAGCAGCCCCGCUCCUGUUCUGCCUUUUCCACCACCCAUGUACCUACCAGUGACCCCCGCUCCCCCACCACCGUCUCCGGCGAUCCAGGAGGUGGAAGCCAUACGCACGGUGGUGGCGGAGAGCGAGAAGGUGCUGGAGAAGCUGCAGAAGAAGGAGGCGACGAUGCGCGAGGAGCUCACCAAGAGGGCCAAGGAGCUGCAUGACAAGGAGUUCAAGCUGCCAUACCAGAACCCUGCACCGUGCACCGACGAGAGGGCCGGGUGCGCCGAGUGCUAUAGGAGCAACGUGCAGGACCCGCUCAAGUGCGCCGAGGCGGUCAAGAGGUUCGAGGCGUGCGUUCGCAUGGCGAGGCGGGGCGGUGCCGCCAUGGGAGCUUAGCAAUGGGAGAGGGGUUGCGAGUCGGAGCUGAGUGAGCGAGGUGUCGAGCACACGAUUUUGCUUCUGUCGGGAUGAUUGAUUGAAUAAUCUGCCUGGAUUUUUGUUUGGUGAGACCUGAAACACCAUCAGCUGUAGAUUAAUUCUGGUGAUGCCAUGAGUUUCCUUGAAUUUAGGGUGUGGCUCCAUGUUAAUUGCAUACUACAAAAUGAAACAUGAAUUGUGCUGCAAAAUUUGCAUGGUUCCUUGGAUUUUAGCCCGUUUGUUUGGGAUGAGUUUUGAGUAACCAUUGUAUGCUGAUUCUUCCGUGUCACAUAAGUACAUUGUGCUGCAAAAUGAAACAUGAAUCGAUGGUGAAAAUUAAUGUGAUUUAGCUUCUGCUGCGGCAUGUUUUUUGCGGGAUCAAUAAAAAUCUCCUGAUGCUGCUGCUGCUGCUGCUGCUUUGCUGGUUAUUGGUAAAAUCCAUGUCUGACUGGUUGACAAAGAAUUAUGGAACUUUGUAUAUGUUGUUAGGCAUAAAUGUUGGGGUAAAAAAAAUAUCAUCUUGGUGCACCGCCCAGUCUUUUGGUGGACAAAAGAUUGUAUGGUGCAAGAAGCUACAGUAUUCAGAUACAACAACCACCCCAAGGGCCAGCAGGCAGCAGCAAACCAGAUCAAGAUGAGAUGGUCUCAGCCUAGGAUGUUGAUUCAGAGAUGCUCGACUCGACGCCAAGCAGUAGUCGCCCCGACAGUUGUCGACCAAGAGCGACUGCGGCACAGUUCAGUUGUAGAAGCAAUCAGACAUAGCAGAGCAGAGCAAGAAAAUCGACAGAUAAGAGCCACAGUUGAAAAACUUUACUGAACAAGUUGAAGGCUAGUGUCUUCUCAGUUAACUAAGCAAAGCAAAAACAGAUAGAUACAUAGAUAGCUCACAGACACACAGGUAGAUGCCAAUCACGACUUGUACAUUUGUUCAGAGCAACCAAAAUCCAUGCCCUUGCUGCCCUGUUUACUCCUGCAUGGGCUGCCGAGUUUCUUGGCUUCUCGAACUAGCCUUGCCAUCUCCUUCCAUGUCUUCCUGUUUACUCCUGCAUGGCGGAUUGCUGGCGCUCCCUGGCUUCUCGAGCCGCCUGCCUCCUGCGUUCACGCACCAGCCUUGGUAUCUCCUUCCAUGUCUUCGGUUUAAGUGCCAUCACUGCACAUAUCGCAAAUGGCAUCAAAACAAACACAUACUACAAACUAAUGUGACAUAAAACUUUAUACCGUACGGAAGUAAAAUAAUGGAAAACAAACUUGGACAAACAUGCUGGCAUGGUAGAUUUAAUGGAAUGGAUGACUACAUCUGUUGGUUAAAUGUGGCAAAGAUAGAGGGACGUGCUGCAAGCAUACCUUCAUGCUGGGCAUCGAGUUCUUUGUAGUCAAGGCUGCCCAGUCGCUGCCGCAGGCAUCUUGGGAGCUUCUUUAUAGCAGGGCAGCCUGUAAUUUUAAGAAGCCAGAGAGACAUGUAUACUUGCGGCUCAUUCGGUAGGGAUGCCAGGGUACUGCAGGUUAGAAGAUCAAGGACUUCCAGCGAUGGGGGGUGCUCUCCCGACAGACACUCCAGUGAUGUCAGCCCACUGUUGCCAAUAAUGCGCAGGCUCUUGAGGGGUGUAGGCAGACGGAGAGUCCCACCCAACAUGCCAGCACAGUUCAGUAUUGAUAGAGAUUCGAGAUGGGGAGGAAGUAAAUGCUCUCUUGCAGCUGGUGCUGUUGCUGCUGCUAGUGGCUCUGGCAUGAUAGGACUUCUGCUUCUGGAGGUAGUGGCUUCUGGUUUCUGGAGCCCACCCAGCUGGCAUGAUAGGACUUGAAUACUACUACAGCUAGCAAUCCAUAUGGUCUUUAAGGACAAAGGCAGAUUUAGAACCGCUUGUAAGCUUCCACAUCCACUUAAACUUAGAUCUUCUAGGCAUGGACAAAAGUGAUUCAUGGGUGAGGAUGACAACUCUGAUACAGCUGUAGGCACGUCUGCCUCACUGCUAGAAGAUACUUGGACUAACUCUGCCAUGCCCUGCUGCUUGCCGAAUAUGGACUCAAGCUUAAUGCACCCACCAAUAGUCAUUUUCUUGAGAGAUGCCGGGACGUUGAACAUCUCUACUAAACUUGGGCAGUUUUCUAUGCAAAGAGACUCCAGACCUCUCAGGUGUUCACUCCUUUCGGAUGCAAAUGGCUCAAGAGGAGCUUGUGCAUAUCCAGUCAGAUUUUCGCAGUUUCUAAUCACUAAUGUCCUCAACGAUACCAAGCUUUGGAACACAUUCUCUGGCCAGUGGACGAGCACAUCACAUCUAUCAAUUUCCAAGUUUUCAAGGUGUACAAAAUAGCCCCACGGCUCUAGUGCACCUGGUCCAAAGAAUGAGUUGCAGCAUCCUAACCCCACAGCUGUAAGAGGGGAUUUCUGGUUCCAUUUCUCCUUGUUGUCCACAUGUAGAAUUGAAGUGCACUCAACCUCUGACGGUGUUUCUGUAUUUUUUAGCUUCAGUAUCAGAUUGGUCAAUGAGGACAAAUAUCUGUCCACAAAAUGGAAGAUCUCUUGCUUGCCAUCUUCAAUUUCUAACACACUGAUUUUUGGUACCUCAGGUAAAUCUAUCAACAUUGGGCAUUGCUGAACUGAUAGUUUCUCAAGCUGUGGAAAAAAUAUUUGUUCACCUUUGGCAGCACCAUCCCAUCUCUGAAAACUCCCCAAGCAUUUCAUUUUGAGCACCUUGAGGGCAGGAAAGGCUGAACGUACCAAUUUAUAACCACCUCCGCUACAUGGUUCUUCAAGCAAUGGUGCUUCAGGUAAAUUUAUCAGCUUCGGGCAGUCCUUAACGGAUAGUUUCUCAAGCCGAGGAAACAAUAUCUAUUCACCUUGAGUCUCUUUGACUGCAUCCCACAUCUGAAAGCUCUCCAAGUUUUUCAUUUUGAGCACCUUCAGGGCAGGAAACGCUGAGCGUACAAAUGUAUAACCGCCUUCACCACAAGGUCCUUGCAGCAAUGCUGCUUCGGGUAAUGCUACCAACUUUCCACAAUUGCUCAUAAACAACUUCUCAAGCACAGGAAAUAUUGCAUGUUCUUCUUGCCUCUCAUCUAUUUCCCACCAUCCCUCAAAACCCAACAGAUGGUCUAGCAUAAGCACCUUCAGUUUUGGAAAAGUGAAGAUUGUACUGCAUCUAAACAAACAUCGCAAUCUUUCACAAUGGAAAAGAUGGAUCUCAACCAUGUUUUGCAACAUACCCAUGCACUCUCCUCCAUAGGAAUAUAUCUUCAGAACCUGCAGCCCACCAUGAGGUUCGAACUUGUCGAGCACCUUGCUGUCGCCAACCUCAGUCCAUCUUAAUGUCAGUUCACGGAGAUCCUUCUUGUUUCCAAGAUUCGCCACUUUUGCCUCUGCUUCUUGAACAUUCUCUACCUGGCGUAGCUCUAGAUGACCACCAAGGUUUAAAUGCUGCAGCGCUAUAACAUCACUGCAAUCAGGGCCAGGAACUCCUUCUACAAAAACUGUGAGUGUCUGCAGCUUAGUGAGAUUUUCAAGUCCUGGAGGCAUGCUCUUCAACUUCGGACAUCCAUGAGUGUAGAGAUGGCAGAGGGAAGUCAUAUACUUCAUUUGCUUCGGAAGUCGAUCAAGAUAACGGCAGUUGGAAAAGUCCAACGUUUGAAGGUUAUAUAGAAUACUUAUAUCUUCAGGAAGUGAUUUGAUAGAACUGUUUGAGAGAUCAAGGUACCUCAGGUGAUGCAGAUACAUUGAUUUCAGAAGAAAUGAUUCUGUGCCUCUAAUACAGAGCUUCAAGGCGUGCAAAGAGUUAUAUUUUGAUAGAUGCUUCAAUGAACUUUGCAUAGGACUAUCACAUAUGAGUGUUUGAAUGGCAGGGGAUCUUUUCUCCAAAGAAGCAUUCAAAAUACCUUCUGUUCCUUUACAUGAUAAAAACAAAUGCCGAGCAGUAUCUCCAAGCCACUCAAUUUUACUUAGCUCCAUAGUCACAGCAACA